UUUUUUUUAGUGAAAAGGGCGAGGGGGCGGAGCCCCCAGCCCGUCUUCAUCUUCUUGCUCCUCAUUCUUCCUCUUCCUGCAGCUUCCAUGGCACCGGUGAGGAGGUUCUCCGCCAAAGCCCCCCAGGAAGGGCUAGGCUCGCCGCCUCCCAAGAGAGGGUGCAGCAGUCCUCGCAAGUCCGAUGUGACGUCAGCAGCGGUCUCCCAGGGGCGCGGGCGCACACCCACGGGUGUGCGCAUUGCCUCCGACGGUCACAGAAAGGGUCCCUCCCGCGAGGGUGGCAGCAGAAGCCUUAGCAGCCGCGGUUGAUGUGGAGGGCUCGCGGUGAACGUCUGACCGCCGCGCCCGUGAUCCCAGACAGCCGACGUAGCCAUGGAGUUCAUGGUGUGGGAGAAGAGGCCGGAGGGCCUCUGGAUCCACCUCCCAUGCUUCUUCGUGGAGGAGCUUCCGGAUAGAAGGCCCGGUGGCCUGCGGCUGCAAGCCGACGGGUGUUGCGGCAAGGGCUCGUGGGUGGAGGUCGAGGUCACCCUCGCGGGCAACGUGUUCCUGAACUGCAAGUGGUAGAACUUCGCCUGAGACCGCGGCCUGCAGGGGAGUCAUACCCUCCAUUUCAAGUACGAUGGAGUGGCGACGCUUUUCGUCAAGGUGUUCGGGGAAGAUGGACGGCACUUGGGGUGCUGCCCGGAAGGCGACGACAGCGACAGCGACCACCUCUCUGACAGCGGUCGUUGUGGCGGUGGCGCCCUCCGCGGUGAACUGGCCCUUGGCGACAGCCGUGACACCUCCAGCAGCGGCGGCGCCUCCCCCAGGGAGAGCACGAGCAGCAACAACUACGACGAGCCGCCGCGCAGCCGCGCCUGGACCAAGGAGGAGGGUGAGGCACCACGACGUCGGGCCCCCAUCAAGGAGGAGGAGGAGGACUCCGACAAAUUGCGGGUAGCGCCAGAGCCGGGACUUGGGAAUAGCGGCCCUCCUGAGGCCGCUCCUUUUGUUUGUUUUUAUUUCCUGCACCAAGAACCAUGAAAGACCCCACGGAGCGUGUAAUGGACUGCGGUGCUUGCCCCUUUAUUUUAUCAUUUCUUGCGCCUAUCCUAGUAUCUGUGUAGAUUUAAAUUGAAAGGUUCCUAUCCGACGUGAUUAGGAUAACUUAGCUUGAUGUGCUUGUGACCCUUGGUGGGUCCCUCCGUCGCGGGAGCGCGCCCCUCUGGAGCCUUAACUCCGAGUAUGCCCCUGGGGUCCCGGGGAGGCCCCCCUCCUCCGGGGCCAGACCGCUCCAGGGUCUGGAGGGGCCUACACCUCGCGAGGUCCCUGGGGGACUCACGAGGUUCUGGGCCUCUAGAUACGCCUCCGCCAGUUGUGCAACCUCCCGAAGGUGCGGGCAGCACUUGUCGUGAGGUUCCUCUAGGAACGAGCUGAUACGUCUCCAACGUAUCUAUAAUUUAUGAAGUAUUCAUGCUAUUAUAUUAUCCAUCUUAGAUGUUUUAUAUGCAUUUAUAUGCUAUUUUAUAUGAUUUUUGGGACUAACCUAUUAACCUAGAGCCCAGUGACAGUUUCUGUUUUCUCCUUGUUUUUGAGUUUGCAAAAAAGGAAUACCAAACGGAGUCCAAUUGACGUGCCAAUUUUUGAUGAUUUUUUAUGGACCAAAAGAAGACCACGGAGCAUCGGAGUUGGGCCAGAAGAGUCCCGAGCUGCCCACGAGGGUGGGGGGCACGCCCACCCCCCUGGGCGCGUGGGCAUGCCUCGUGGACAGCUCGGGCACCUCCUUGACGUGAGACCGACGCCAAAAAUUCCUAUAAAUACAGAAACCUCGGAAAAUUAACCUAGAUCGGAAGUUCCGCCGCCGCAAGCCUCUGUAGCCACGAGAAAUCAAUCUAGGCCCUCUCCGGCACCCUGCCGGAGGGGGCCAUCAUCAUCGGUGGCCAUGGAGGAGGAUCCCAGAGGGGCCAUCAUCACCAUGAAGGCCAAGGACCAGAGGGUGGAGGCCAUGGAGGAGGAAGCACAAGGGGGAGAACCUCUCCUCCUCUCUCUUGGUGGCACUGGAGUGCCAUCGGGAGGGGAAUCAUCGUUGCGGUGAUCGUCUUCAUCAACAUCACCAUCCUCAUCUCUUUUACGCGGUCCACUCUCCUACACCCCGCUGUAAUCCCUACUUGAACAUGGUGCUUUAUGCCACAUAUUAUGAUCCAAUGAUGUGUUGCCAUCCUAUGAUGUUUUGAGUAGAUAUCUUUUGUCUUUGGGUUGAUUGAUGAUCUAGAUUGGUAUGAGUUGCAUGUUUUACUUUGAUGCUGUCCUAUGGUGCCCUCCGUGUCUCGCAAGCGUGAGGGAUUCCCGCUGUAGGGUGUUGCAAUACGUUCAUGAUUCGCUUAUAGUGGGUUGGUGAGUGACUGAAACACAAACCCGAGUAAGAGGGAUUGUUGCGUAUGGGAAUAAAGAGGACUUGAUGCUUUAAUGCUAUGGUUGGGUUUUACCUUAAUGAUCUUUAGUAGUUGCGGAUGCUUGCUAGAGUUCCAAUCAUAAGUGCAUAUGAUCCAAGUAGAGAAAGUAUGUUAGCUUAUGCCUCUCCCUCGUAUGAAACUGCAAUAGUGAUCACCGGUCUUGUUAACAAUUGCCUAGGACAAUUCCGCACACCGAUCCACCAUUAUUCCACACUCACUAUUUAUAAUAUUUAGUAUUAUAUUCUAAGUUUAUGAUAACAGCACCUACUUUUAUAUUUUAGCUCUCCGAUAUCAUACAAAGUUAUCCUCUUCAUACCCACAACGAAGUUUUAUUUCUAGUUUCUAGUUGGAAGCAAACGUUCGGUAUACGUAGAGUCGUAUCAGUGGCAGAUAGGGCUUGAGAGAAUAUUGAUCUUACCUUUAGCUCCUUGUGGGUUCGACACUCCAUACUUAUCACUUCCACCUUUGGAAAUUGCUACGAUGAUUCCCUGCACUUGGGGAUUAUCACGAGCCAAGCCACGGCUGCUCUUUCUCCAACCAUGCUUUCUUGGCACCCAUCCCGUGCCCGAGCCCCCAAGCGAGGGUCGAUCGUUGCUGGUAUGCCCGGGUCGCGAUGCUCGGCAAGGCCAUGAGGUGGCCAGUAACCACACUUGCAUGUUGGCUCGCUCAGGAGCGUCGCGCGAGGAACCGGACGCCAAGCCCUUGGCGAGGUGUGCGUGCAGGCGGGUCGGCAGCCGUUGUGACAACAUUGCCGGGUUUGCCCUCAGUGCAACACCAUGCCCAGCCCCCGCUCGCGAGACGCGAGGGAGGAAGCAAUGGGCCAUUGUUACCUCCUCCUAAAACUGGGUUGGAAAGGGAAAAACACCGCAAGAAUAAAAAAUCCUAACCCCCCAUUCAAAUAAAGACGCGGAAACUUCAAACUUCAUUUCAAGAAAUAGUAAAUUUUGGUUUACAAGAGAAAGCAAAGAACAGCCGUGUCUGGCACUCUUCUAGUCUUCCCACCAGUACGGAGCAUGUGGCCUCCACUUGGCAUGGGCAUAGUCAUUGUUUGUCUGUGUCGUCCGCCAGCGCGGAGCAUGGGGCUUCCACUUGGGCAUGCAUGGGAGCCCCCGAGAGGCCCAGGGGCGGCAGUCAGGAUUCUCUGGGGCGUGUAUAGCCCCACUCAUUAUUACAUGAGAGUGUUAUGGGUAGAACUUACGGAUAUGCUGGAUGUUCCAAGCAUUCUGGAUGGGGACCCCGUCCUGCGUCUCCAGGCAUACGGCGCCAGGCCUGGAGACAUGGGCGAUCCUAAACGGGCCCUCCCACAUAGGCGAGAGCUUGUGAAGGCCCUCCCUAGAAAGGAUCCGCCUCAGGAUGAGUUCUCCCACCUCGAAGGUCCGGGAGCGGAUGUUACGGCAGUGGUAAUGCCACAACGCCUGUUGUACCUUGCUGCGCAGAGCGAGGCUGGGCGACGGGCUUCCUCCCCGAGCACGAGAUCCAUUCCUCGCGAGGCAUCCUGAUGCGCCUCGUCGAAUGCCAGGACCCGCGUGGAGCGAUGCUUGACCUCGUGCGGGAGGACCACCUCAGCCUCGUAGACGAGGAAGAAGGGAGUCUCGCCGGUGGGCUUAGUCCCGGUGGUGCGGAUGGACCACAACACGGACUGAAGCUCACUGAGCCAACCCCUGCUGGAGGACUCCAGCUUCUUCUUGAAGCUCCUUGCCUUGAGGCCCCUCAGGACCUCCGCAUUGGCGCGCUCAGCCUGGUCGUUGCUCCGUGGGUGCGCCACUGAAGCAUAGCAUAUCUGCGUUCCAAGGUUAGUGUAAUACCUCCUGAUGAGGUUGCUUGUGAAUUGGGAGCCAUUGUCAGUAAUGAUACGGUUGGGGACACUGAAAUGGCUCACGAGGCCCUUGAUGAACUUGACGGUUGAGCCAGCAGGAAUGGUGCGCACGGGCUCCACCUCCGCCCACUUGGUGAACUUGUCGAUGGCGACGCAGAGGUAGCGGUAUCCACAAGCUACUCGAGGGAACGGGCCCAGGAUAUCCAGCCCCCAGACCGUGAACGGCCACGAGAGAGGAAUGGUCUGGAGACCUUGUGCGGGCUGAUGAAUCUGCUUGGCAUGGAACUGGCAGGCCUCGCAGGAUCACACUAGCUCGAUGGCGUCGUUGAGCGUCGUAGGCCAGUAGAACCUGCUGCGGAACACCUUGCCCACGACGGUGCAUGAGGAGGAGUGGUGCCCGCAAUCCCCGUCGUGGAUAUCGGCCAGCAACUCGCACCCCUGUUCUUUGGAUAUGCACCGUAGUAAGACGUCGUUGGGGCAUCGCCGGUACAGCUCGUCGUCCUGCAAGCAAUAAGCUGUGGCCUGGCAGACCACGCGCUUCACGUCUUCCUCCCUCUCCGGUAAGGUGUUGCGGAGCAGGUACGCCUUGAGCUCCUCGGUCCAGCAGCCUUCCUGAGGUUCCAACACCAGGAGUAGGCGAGCUCCCGAGGUCGGACCACAAGCUGGGGCUCCUGAGGUCGGGGCCGGCGGUAGCUCCUCCCUGAGCAACACCGGGUCCGCGACUUAGGGUAUCGCUGAUGGUUUGAAGAGCCUCUCAUUGAAGAUGCUCGGCUUCUGAGGCUCGCGGCGGGACGCCCUCUUGGCGGUGUCGUCUGCUUCUUUGUUCGUGCUGCAAUUCCAAACCCAGGGCGCACUUUUCGAUUUUACGUACCUCUUCCAGGUAAGCCUCCAUGUGCUCGUCCUUCAGUUUAUACUCCUUGUUGGAGAAGUUGACGAGGAGUUGGGAGUCGCCCUUGAUGGUGAGGCGCUUGAUCCCCAGGGCGGCCGCGGCCCUGUGACCAGCAAUCAAGCCCUCAUAUUCUACGAUGUUGUUGGAGACCUUCUCGCCAUGCUGGAAACAAAGCUACACGGCAUAGUAGAGCUUGUCCUUCGUUGGUGAGAUGAGGACAACUCCAGCUCCCACGCCUUGCCGCCGAAGGCACCAUCGAAAUGCAUGACCCAGCCGUCGGGUGCCUCAUCGCCGGGCGCGAGGGACUGGCCCUCAUCCAACCCCCGAUCGAGAGCGUCGGUCCACUCCGCCAUGAAAUCAGCCAGGGCUGCUCCCUUGAUGACCCUGGUUGUGCUGAACUCCAGCUGGAAGGCCUGCAACUCGAUGUUCCACUCUGCCACCCUCCCCGAGGCGUUGGGGCUGCACAACACCUUCUCUAGGGGGCACGCCGAGACAACCUUGAUGGGGUGCCCUUGGAAAUAGUGGCGCAACUUCCUUGAGGGCACGAAGAGUGCGAGCAAGAGCUUGCUGCAUAGGGUAGCGCACGCAUCGCGUAGCACUAUGCUGAUGAAGUACGCCGGAUGCUCGACGAGGGGCGGGGCGUCGGGGGUGCGGGGGACUUAGGAGGCUUGCAGGUCGAUGAAGCAAUGGGAUCCUAAGGAGCGCCGGCCUGAGGCGGCACAGGUUGCGCGACUUCUCGCAGGCCACCUUGCUUCGUGCUUGCACCGCCGUGCUCUUCCCGGGCCGCCAUGAGUGCUGCACUAGCUGAGUGGGGAGUGGCUGCCAAGUAAAGCACCAGGGGCUCGUGCGGACGAGUCGCCACCAUGACGGGUGGGCUCGUGAGGUAUCGCUUGAGGUCUUCGAAGGCCGCCUCAGCUUCCGGGGUCCACUCAAACGGACCCUUCUUCUUCAUAAUCUUGAAGAAAAGGAGGGGCGCUCGCCAAGCUUGGAGAUGAAGAGCCCCAAGGAGGUCAUGCACCCCGCAAGCUUCUGCAUCUCCUUGAGAGUCUGAGGCGGGCUCAUCCUCUCUAUUGCCUUUACCUUCUCGGGUUAGCCUCAAUCCCUCCGUGCGACACUAGGAAACCCAACAGCUUGCCAGACGGAACGCCGAACACACACUUCUACGGGUUGAGCUUUAGGUUUAUGCUGUGCAGGUUGGCGAAUGUCUCUUCCAGGUCAUUGAUCAGGGUCCUUGCCUCCCGCGACUUCACCACGAUGUCAUCAAUGUAUGCCUCUGCAUUCCUUCCCAGCUGCGGCCCAAGCGUGAUGUGCAUUAGCCACUAAAAGGUCGCACCAGCGUUCCGCAGCCCGAAAGGCAUGCGGGUGUAGCAAUACACGCCGCACGAGGAGAUGAAAGAUGUUUUAUCGGCGUCCUCUCUCGCCAUCUUGAUUUGGUGGAACCCUGAGAAAGCAUCCAAAAAGCACAGCAGGUCGCACUUGGCAGUGGAAUCCAUGAUCUAGUCGAUGUGCAGGAGCGGGAAAGGGUCCUGAGGGAAAGAUUUGUUGAGGCUCUUGAAGUCGACGCACAUGCGCUCCUUCCCUCCUUUCUUAGGGACAAUCACUGGGUUGGCCAACCAAUCCGGGUGCCGCACUUCUCGAAUGACACAGGCCUCUUGCAACUAACGGACCUCUUGGACAAUGAACGUUUGCUUCUCCUGUGCUUGAUGUCGUGCCUUUUGCUUUACCGGGCGCGCACCGGGGCAUACCAUCAAGUGGUGCUCGAUCACCUCCCUCGGGACGCCAACCAAGUCUGAUGCCACCCACGCGAAUACAUCCUUGUUGGCCCUUAGGAAGCCAACUAAUGCCUCCUCCUAGUCUGGGAAGGCUGGCACCAAUGGUGAAGGUGGGGUCUGAGCCCCCGAUGUCGACACGUACCUGCCUUGUCUCGGCCCGGUCCUGAGAGAACAAUUGCUUUUUCUUUGCGGGUGCGGCCUCCUGAGCCUCUGCGGCGCUCCCAGCGCCAGGACGCAAGGCCGCCGCGGUCCUGUAGGCGAGCUUGAGGCCCCGGACUGCGUCUUUCGUAUUCCCGAACACCGUGAUAAUGCCGCUGCUACCCGGCAUCUUGAUGACAUUGUAGUCUAGAUGGGUCACCGCCAUGAACUUGGAGAGGGCCAGAUACCCCAGGAUGGCGUUGCAUGGGAGGCCGAUGCGGGCCACUUCAAAGUCAACCAGCUCGGUGCGGUAGUUGUCGCGCGUGCCGAAGGUGAUGGGGAGGCGUAUCUGUCCAAGGGGUGGGGUGGCCGAGCCCUUGACCACCCCCGAGAAAGGCUUGGUGGGAGUGAGCUGGUCGCGCGGCACCUGGAGCGGGUCCAAGGUUUCCACGGAGAGGAUGUUCAGGCCGGCACCGCCGUCGAUGAGGGUCUUGGUUACCACGACGUUGCCGAUGGUGGGCGUGCAUAGCAUGGGUAGGGCACCCACGGCCGCCGUGGUCUUGGGAUGAUCUCUCGAAUCGAAGGUGAUCUCGGCCUCAUGCCUGGCGCAGCCCCGCACAUCCUCGCGCUGCGGUCGAGUAGCGCUUGCCCGACGGAGAAACUGCUUGAUGUGGCGGCCAGAAGCAGGCUCCUGUGACCCGCCGAUGAUGCACGCAACUGUGUGAGGCGCCGGAGCCGCAAAGCAUGCAACAAAAUGGUCGUAGAGCUCUUCCCAAGAGGAGAUCGAGGCGUGUGGGAGGCCGUGGAGCCAAGAUCGAGGGGCCUCUAUGAGGGCCAGGGGGAGCCAGUUUCCCAUGGCCUUGUCGUCGCUGCCCGCUGCCUGGAUGGCUUGCGCGUAGGAUCGGAGGAACUCUUCGGGGUCCGCCGCACCAUCGUACCGCGGGGCCAGCGUCGACCUGAACUUCAUGGGCCACUGCACCCGACGCAGGCCGGCGGUGAAGGCCAGGCAACCUGUGGAGCUCCCAUAGGCCCCGGGCGGCCAUGCCUCCAAGGCGGCGCCUGCCAUGGAGGUAGUGGAGCGGGGACGAAGCAUGGUUGGUGGAGAAGCGAAACUUUGACACGCCCCCAACCUGGCGCGCCAAAGUCGGAUUUGCGGCUCCGCAGACCCAAGAAGUCUCGAACUCUAGGGCAUGUGCGAAGAUCUCAACCUCUCAAGUCACAAGCUCAUCGCCCUACAGCCUAGCCUCAUCGGGUGCAUGCUCGAGUGGGGAAGAAGACGAACACGGCAACUUACCCAGGUUCGGGCCACCUUGCAGUGUAAAAUCCUACUCCUGAUUUGUGGUGGAUUGGCCUCACGAGGGGGGCUGAGGAUGAACAAGUACAGAGGAUGAACAGCCUUGCAAGGACUAUGGUGGUGAGGGUGGAAGGGAUCAGAUCAGGGGUUCCCUUUCUACGGUGGUGGCUAAACUAUAUUUAUAGUGGCCUCGGUCAUCUUCCCUCAAAACUUAGGCGGGAAGGGCUCCCAUAACGGCCAAUUUGAAAGGGGACAAGAAGUACAUCUAAUCCUGAUGAAAGGUGGUCUUCGCCUGCAAAGCUUCUGGUCGUGACGCAGCGGUGGGCUCGGUGAUGACAUCUGUCCUGCCUAGCUCAUGGUCUUGGUCUUGUAGCACCAUAAUGGAAACCUUUGGGUGUUCCUCGGGAACCCGUGCUCGUCCUUGCUCCCUUAGCACCAAAAGGGAAACUGCCUCCUCUGUGCCCGCUGGCGCCUGCCUGGCCAUGGUCGUCAUGGAUCACGUCAUCGCAGCCUCAUGAGGCUGGGUACCUACAUAGAAAUCUUCGCUCCUCGGGAGGCCGCCUCUCUAGAGGUCUUGGCGUCGUUCUCCUCGCGAAGCAGGGGAUCUCGCGAGGGUCUUGUCUUGGAGGCCCCGCAGCUGGGCCGUACCAGGCCAUCGAGGAAUGCCGACAGUAUGAGUACCUUUAGCCACUUCCUUGCCGGAAUUGGCCUCUGACUCUGAUGCAGUGGGAUUAAGCACAAGCAGCGGAUCGAGAGAAGAUUUCAACCCCUGAAGAAGUUCUUUAAGCAUGGACUUGACCUCGGCCGUCAUGGAUGUCUUAAGUGAAGACAUGGCUUCAUUUAAGUCAUCUCGGGUGAUCGAGUUCAACUCCACGGCCUCGGGUACUUCCUCAUCCCCAUCCCCGUUGCCAACCAUACUCUCCGGGUGGUGAAACCCUUAAUCAAGAGAUGGGGCUCUAAUACCAAUUGAAAGGAUCGAUAUGGUUGACUAGAGGGGAUGAAUAGGCAACUACCAAUUUUUAGAUUUUCUUAACAAAUUAGGUUUAGCAACAAAUAUGUUGUCUAGAUAUGCAACUAGGUGAGCAACUUAUAUGAUGCUAGCAAUAACAACAACACAAGCAAGCACGAUAAACAACACAAGUAAAGUUUGCACAAAUUAAAGGUAAGAGAUAACCACAGGUGAUGUCGGGGGAGACGAGGAUGUGUUAUCGAAGUUCCUUCCCUUUGAAAGGAAGUACGUAUCCAUUGGAGCAAUGUGGAGGCACAAUGCUCCCCAAGAAUCCACUAGGGCCACCGUAUUCUCCUCAUUCGCUCACACAAUGCGAGAUGUCGUGAUUCCACUAGUGGUGCCCUUGAAGGCGACAAUCGGACCUUUACAAACAAGGUUGGGGAUCUCUCCACAACCGAAUUGGAGGCUCCCAACACCACCCCGAAGCUUCACUACAAUGGAAUGUGGCUCUGAGGUGACCUCAACCAUCUAGGGUGCUCAAACACCGAAGAGUUCAGUUAAGCAAUUUAUUGCAUACCAAUUCCUCAAAGUGCUCUUAUGUGCAAUAUUGAUAAAAUUGCAAGAAACAACCUUUUUGGUUGUGGUAUUUGCUCUCAUGCUUAGUAAUUCAUUUUUAUGCAAAUGAGAUCAGUUUGCGCCAUGUGCCAUGUGACAAAGCCCUACGCUAAGAUCAAGUUUGUAUAAAUAAUGGAUUCAUUCUUGGAUAUCAUGUUCUUAUCUUUUGUAUCUUUUUGUGUGUGCAAGUUUCUUUGUGGAUGCUCAUCUUGAUGAUUAUUGGCCACGUAAGAAACUUAUACACAUGAGAAAGUGCAUAUCCCUCUUUGAUAUCCUUUCGUUUCCUUGCCGGUCCUUGGAAUUGUCUCUUUUUAUUCUUUGGUGGAUACGGUAAGAGGUUGAGUAGUGAGUGCUUGUAUGUAUUGCAUAUAUCAUUGCACUCAUGAGUUGUUGGAUAUUUUUUGGACCCUUGCUUAGUCAAGUGAUGAUCCUAUUUUGUGCACGUUGUAUCCAAGUACAAAACUAAAUAAUGCACAAAUCAUGGGGAGCUUCUCUAUGUUCUUUAGAACACUCCUAUGCUCAUAUCAUAAUAUCUUUUUGGUGCAUUUUAUGGAUCCUCAAUAUAGUGUGAAUUUCUUCAUUUGUUCGUAACUGGAUAUGUGCAUUUGAUUCCACUCACAAUAUGAGAAAUGCACAAAUUAAGGAGGAACUCAUACUAUAUUGGUCUUCUAGAUUUUUUCUCCAUUUUGGCACUUGUUGCCAAUGGGGGAGAAGUUUAGAGAGUUUAGGUGAAGUAGGUUGGUUCAUGCAUAUCUACAUUUGUUGUGGUUGUUGCAUGGAUGUGUAUAUAGAGGAAACUCCACCAAGUUCUUCCAUGCAUAUAUUGUGGGGGAGUUUGCUCUAUAUAGUGUGGUUCUACUAGCAUCAAAUUCUUGUGUAGUAUUUCGAUGCUAGUACAACCAGUUUUGAUAACAUCAACUAUCUUUGUGAUAUUUGAGGCUAUCAAAACCACCUCAAGUAUUCAAUUUAUUCUCGGAUAGGUUGCAUACUUGUUUUAAAUUCAUUAUAUAAACCCUCUUGUUGAGAUUGUCAUCAAUUACCAAAAUGGGGGAGAUUGAAAGGGCAUGUAGCCCCUAAGUGUGGUUUUGGUAAUUGAAUGACAAUCUCUAUGGACUAAUGUUUUCAGUGAGAUAUAUUUGAAGGUUUUGUCCAUAGAUGGUGCCUCAAGGAUAUUGGAUGGAAUCAAGGAUGAAGUCCAUAUAUAUGAAGAUAAUGCCUCAAGGAUAUUGGAUGGAAUCAAGGAUGAAGUCCAUAUGGAUGAAGUUAUAUUUGCUCUAAGCUUUAGUAUUAAAUGACAAUUCCUAUGGAGCAUCAAGUGCAUUGGAUCUUAUAUGAAGAUAUGUUCCAUAGUGAUGCUUGAAGUUCUUUGGGUUGUUUUUUGAAGAUUUCCAUCAAAGCAUCCGAAGAAGUCCUCAUGGUAUCCCUCUCUGGAUACCCCAUGCACACGGGCUUAUACCGUGUGCACGGGGUCGAGUGUCAACUCUCUGGAUACCCCGUGCUCACGGGGCCUAGGUGUUGGCUCUCGAGAUUCCAUAUCCAGCGAGGUUUCAAGUUGGUCUUCUGAGUAUCAAGGCUUGAGAGAAUAAUCAAAGAGAAGAAUUCGAGUUAUGGUUUCAAGACAAGAUCAUGGUGAGCUCAUGUGUUGGGUUUCGGUUGAUCAAGCCUUGAAGCAAGCAACUAGAGUGAAGAAUUCAUUAUGCCUCUCAAGACAAGAUCAUGUUGAUCAAGUCUUGAAGCAAGCAACUAGAGUGACGAAUUCAUUAUGCCUCUCAAGAGUUUGGGAUGGAGUUUUUAGAAGGGCAAGUGGUGACCAAGAUGAUAUUCAUAGUGGAACUUGAUAUGGUCAUGAAAGAGUCUUUGGUGAUAUUGUAUUGAAGCAAUGAAGUGAAAUGAAGAGUUCAUUGUGGCUUUCAAGAAACCAAGAUGGAGCUUGAAGUAAAGAUGUUGGUUGACCAAGAUGAAGCUCGAAGAGUAUAUCUAAGUGGUCAACUCACAAAGCACAAACAAUGUACCACGUGAGAUCAAGUGAUCUAGUGGUAUGGUAAGUAAUUGUGAAUUGUGCUUUGUUACCUAACCCAUGCUAUAUGUUUGUUAUGUCUAUGUGGGUUAGGUGUUUCUCAUAGGCUUGCAUCAAAAGGAAAGAUCUCGUGUAGCCUAUGUGUGGAUGACAUCAAGUGGUGAUGGUCAUCGGAUUCGAGGAGUCCAAGUGCAAGAUGAGAUGACAUCAAGUGGUGAUGGUCAUCGAGUGGGAGUCCAGGUGCAAGAUGAGAAGCCGGAGGUUAUAUGCUUUGAAGCUUGCGGUCCACAUCAUGAUAAUGUGCAUGUGAAUAUGGGCUUGAGAUAAGGCUUCCCUCAUUGCAUCAUGAGGAAGCAAUUCGAGUAUCUUCACCAAGUGGUCGUGGACAAGAAAGGGAUUCCAACUUGAGGCAGGCAUUAAAGUCAUCAUCAAGCUCAAGUUGAAUGUGCAAGGCAAAGUUAUACCUUAGCUAGGUUUUCCUAGUUUUUCCGGUCUCAUAGUGCUUGGUGGGAGACCGGAUUAUAGCUUUGAUAGCCGUUCUAUCAAGAGGGACUCUCGGGCAAGUAGCUUGAUCACGUCGCAUGUAGAGAGCUCAAACCUUUGCAUUACUUGCAUCAUUCUUUCUUGUUGAUCUUGGGUGGUUCUCUAUGUGAGGACCUUGGGCUUUUCCAUAGCUUCAAAACGAGCCCAAGAUCAUCGAAUUCGGAGUCCGUAUGCCAAAGUUAUCAACGUUUUAGUGGGCUGCUGCUGGCUGUCCUGGGGACUCCGCGUGAACUGGGUAUUUGACCCCCAUGGGCACGGGGCCCCAUGUGCACGGGGCUUGUACCGUGCGCACGGGACCCCGUGGGCACGGGGUCUAAACCCCCGUGCACACGGGGUGCCUAGGAAAUGCCCGUUGGAGCCCCAAUGGCUAGUUUCUGAGUUUGGCUAUUUAAGGGCCCAUUCCUCCCACCGGUUGGGGGUUGGUUCUUACACUUUCAAAACACCAUUUUGAGCCUCUCUACACCUCUCCCAAAGCCCUUUCUCCCCUCUAUGUGAAGGGGGAUUUGUGGAUGGAUUUGUGAGCCAUUUGUUGAUCAUAUCCAUUGCAUCCCCUCUCCUCAAUCUCCUACUUUCAAAAGUGCAUCUUGUGAGAUUGAGAGAGUGUGUUGAGAAUUUGUUGCUUGGCAUUGCAUUGCAUUUGUUGCAUUGGUUUGAGCUCCCCACAUCGAUUAGUUCGAGUGAGAGUCUGUGAGUUUAUUACUCUUGGAGGUUUCGGCCUCCUAGACGGUUUGGUGAUAUUCAUUGUGAAGAUUGUGAAGAGGCCUAUGUGGCCAAGGUUCCCCCGGAAGCUUCCUCUUGUGGUGUGCUCCGGGGAAGGGUGUUGAAGUGGCCUAGGUGGUCAAGUUCCUCCGGAAGCUUCCUUGCUUGUGGUGUGCUCCGGAGAAGUUUGUAAAGGUGUGGUGGUCGCCUUCAAGACCAACCCCGAGUGAAUCGAAGCUCAUCCGUUGGGGGGUGACUCGAAAAGGAGAAUACGGUGAGUCACUUGGUGACGCCCCGGAGCUUUGGCUUCGGCACCGCUCUAACGGAGAUUAGCACUCUCACGAGUGUGAACUUCGGGAUAAAUCCGCGUCUCCGACUCACUUGUGGUUAUCUCUUACCCACACCCUUUACUUACCGCAAUUCAUACUUGCUCAUAUUGAUAUAUCUUGUGCUAGUUGAAUUGUUUAGUUGUUCCUACAUUUCCAUAUCUUGUGAUAUAGUUUGUGCUUGCUAGUUUCCUUAAGUGCCUAUCUUGUUUAGCAUAGGUUGUUGGUGCGCUUAGUUGAGCCUAGCAUAUUUAGGAUUUGUGCUUGAAAGGUAUCCGUUUAGUUUAAUUCCACAUUAGGAUAAAGCCAAAUCCGUAACAGUUUUAAAACGCCUAUUCACCCCCCCCCCUCUAGUCGUCAUCUAGAUCCUUUCAGGUACUCCUUGCGGUACUGGUACAGCGGUAGUUUCGCCGGAGCGGUACUACCGCGCUGCUAGAGCGGUACUCCCGCUAAGCUGUAGACAACCCAGUAAACCUGCGGUAGUAGAGUGAUAAUCAAAGUUGCAGUACCACUGGAGCGGUACUACCGCACUGAACUGCCGCACUAUAGCCACCCAUUUACAUAACCUAAACAACAAGCGGAAGUGAGAACAUAACUGAACUGCGAUAGUACCGCUUGAGAGGUACUACCGUUGAGCAGAGCGGUACUACCGCUUAGACUGCUCUGAAAAGCCCAAGCACAAGGGAAGGCCAAGCUCAAAUGCAAGGAAGGAAAGAGGGUGCAGAGGGACCUUCUAUGUGUUGAUUUCACCCAACCUUUUCGACGCGGACCCCCUCUUAAUAGUACGGUGUUCCUACGACUCAAAUCCACAAAAAAUGAACCGAAGGACAAACACCAUCUUCCUAAUAGCUCAGAGGUGCACGAAUCGUCUUUGUGCCAUAUGAUAGAUUAGCUGAAAUGCUCAAUGCACAUCUCUGCAAAACCACUAAGGGAGAAAUAUGCCCUAACAACAGGGCCUCUGUAUUAUGAGGAUUAGAGAGAACAAGAACUAGUUCAAGUCUAGAUCAAGUCUAGAUCAAAAACUAGAACUAGAGAGAGGGAAUCCUCGGGAUGCCGGUUCAUCUCACAUGGGCCGAACUAUUGGGCCGCACCGUAUCCGGACCGAAGACCUUUUGUGCCUUCGUGUGCACCCCAAGUCAAGAUGGAAUAUCCGGAGUUUCCUCUAUGUAACCGACUAUUUGUAAACCAUAGCACCCCUGGUGUCUAUAUAAACCAGUGGGCUUGGUUUGUAGAGGCUAGAAGAUCCCUCUGUAACCUCCUUAUACACAAGCAAUAUAAUCAAGAAAGACGUAGGAUUUUACCUCUUAGAGAGGGCCCGAACCUGGGUUAACAUCGUGUCCCACGUCUACUGUUCCCCAUCGAUCCAACGUCCACAAUUCGGGACCCCCUACCAGAGAUCCGCCGGUUUUGAUACCAACAUUGCUGCUUUCAUUGAGAGUUCCAAUGUUGGAUCACCGAAGGAACGAUGGCUCGCCUGAUCAUCAGAGACGGCGUCAACACCGAAGACAUCUUCAUCCCCGAGCAACUUUUCACAUUCGGCAGCAUUGUUCUGCAUGCCGACGCGACUGGUCGCCUCAACCAGGUCGACAAUUUCGCCCAUGAGCAACAGAUCAGGUUCGGCAACUUCUAGUGCAUCAUCGAUGCUCAGGGCGAUCUGAUCUUCACUAGCUUCUCAGCCUUACCCGCAACAAGCAUGACCUCCGAAGCAUUGACUUCGGGGGCUAUCCCCGAUCUGAUCUCUGGAUCAGCCCAUACCACGCUACCAGUGUCAAGCUCAGAAGCAUCACCUAUGUCCAAAACCCAGGAAUCAACCCUGUCCCGACACUCCCUCCUCGACGUGGAUCCGGCCUUGAGCCUUAACAAUAUUUGGGUGUCCGAAGACAUGGAGUCAACCCCCGCCGGGCUCGCCCUUCUCACCACAUAUUUGGCCUUGAGCCUUGAGGCAAGUAUAGUGUCCGAAGACCAAGGUUUGCCCCUGACCAGACCCAUGCCUCGCCCCACCCUUGCAAUGGAGGUUAACUCCGAAGAAACUUCAUACGCUGAUCCGGCCAGCCUCGCUGUUGAACGAGGCGCUUGACCGGAUCCAGAUGAUGGCUAUUGUCGAUGGACCAUCCUCGGCUCAUGCUCAACGGAGCCUCGGGGUAGGUCACAGGGAAUUUUAUGUCCCACCCACCAGCCACUUAAUAGCCACUGUCAAAGACAUAACCGACAUGCUGGGCAAUGCCACUAAGGAGGCUGAGGAUAUGGAUGACGACAACGAGGCCACAGCCCACACUAACAUUGCCCCUCCCGUAACCGGCCGCUGGACGGCCACUGUCGGUGUUCUGGGAUCCGGGGUACCCAGACUUGCCUGCCUGCUGCCCAACAUGCAGCAUCAUCGAUGGCCCGGUAUGGCCUAGCUACAAGACCCCCAAGACAAGACCCUCACGAGGGCCCCCGGCCUCGCGAGGCGGACGACGCCAAGACUUGGAGGGGCCGCUCCCCGAGCCUGCCUCCCGAGGAGCGGAGACUUACAUGUAGGUACCCAGCCUCACGAGGCUCUCGAUGAUGUAAGCCAUGACGACCAAGGCCAGGGGGCGCCAGCGGGCGCAGAGGAGGACAGUUUCCUCUUUGGUGCUAAGGAGGCAAGGACAUAUGCAGGUUCCCAAGGAAUCCCCCAAAGGUUUCCAUUUUAGUGCAACGAAACCAAGACCACAAGCUCAGCAGGAUGGAUGUCAUCGCUGAGCCCACCUCUGCGUCAUGACCAGAAGCUUUGUAGGCGAAGACCACCUUUUGGUAGGAUAAGAUGUAAUUCUUAUCCCCUUUCAAGUUGGUCAUUGUGGGAUCCCUUCCCGCCUAAGCUAUGGGGGAAGAUGACCAAGGCCACUAUAAGUAUAGGCUAGUCUCCACCGUAGAGAGGGAUCGGAUCCAUUCCACCUUCACUCCCAGAGCCCUUGCGAGGCAGCUCAUCCACUAUACUAGUUCAUCCACAACCUCCUCGUGAGGCCAAUCCACCACAAAGUAGGAGUAGGGUUUUACACGGCACGGUGGCCCGAACCUGGGUAAACUGUCGUGUUCUUACUUCCCCGCUCGCACGAACUCGAGAGGCAAGGCCCUGAGGUGAUGAGCUUGAGGCUGGUGCUGGUUUAGAUCUUCGCACACGCCCCAGAGUCUGAACCUUGUUGGGUCCGCAGAACCCCAAUUUCGGCAUUUGGUAAGCCAGGUAGGGGCAUGUCGAGAUCCUCCUCCCGGCUCUGAUUCAUUCCCACUAAGUCGCUCCCAUGGCCGACGUCACGCGCCUCGUUGCUCGUCCAUCGUCCCCGGUGUCACAGCCGGUUGCCCCGCCUUCACUCCGGAGAUGCGUCGGGUUUGCUUGCCGGUGAGGUUCAGGCCAGCGUUGCCCCCGUGGUACGACGGUGCGGCUAACCCGAAGGAGUUCUUCCGGCUAUACGAGCAAGGUAUCCUGGCGGCAGGCGGCAACGGGAAGGCCAUGGCCCCCUCUAGCACUCACGAAGGCUCCCCGCUCUUGGCUCCGAGGCCUCCCAGACGCCUCGGUAUCCUCAUGGGGGGAGCUCCGCGGGCAAUUCCUUGCACACUUCGCGGCCCCGAGGCCCCACACAGUCGUGUGCCUCCUCGGCGGGUCGCAAGCACCUGCGUAUGGUCGCCACGCCAAGCAACUCCUUCGCCGGGUGAUUGCCGCCCGGCGCUGACCUGAGACCCUGCGGAGCCGCGCACGGCGCGAGGUCGCCAUCACCUUUGACCCCAGGGAUCGCCCCGGAUCUGUGGUCGCCGCUGGUGCACUCCUUAUGCUAUGUGCACCCUCUUCGUCACCAAGACCCUCAUUGAUGGUGGCGCGGGCCUCAACGUGCUCUCUGUCGAGGCCUUCGAGAUGCUUCAGGUGUCGUACGACCAACUCCUACCAACCAGGCCGUUCGCCGGGGUGGCAGGGGGCUCCGCCUCCCCCUUGUAGCAGGUGCACCUUCCUGUCACCUUUGGAAAGCGUGACAACUACCGCACUGAGGUCAUCGACUUCGACGUGGCCCGCAUCGGCCUCCCUUACAACGCCAUCUUUGGGUAACCCACUCUCGCCAAGUUCAUGGUGGUGACACACCCCGGCUACAACGUCAUCAAAAUGCUGGGCAGCAGCGGUGUCAUCAUCGUGGUAGGAGACAAGGGGGAUGUGGUCCGGGCACUCAAGCUCGCCUACAGGGCCGCGGCGGCCUCGCAUCCAGAUGGCAAUGAGGUCACGGGGGCUUCGGAGACCACGCCCGCGAAGAAGAAGUAGCUGUUCUCCCAAGACCGCACCAAGACGAAGAGGGUGCCCGUCGAUGACGACAACCUGGGCCCCACUUUCACCAUCGGCGCUGGCUUGCCCGCGGACCAAGAGCAGGCGCUCAUUCGAUUCCUUCGAGCAAAUAAAGACGUGUUCGCAUGGAAGGCAUCCGAUCUUGUCAGCGUCCCGAGAGGAGUGAUCGAGCAUCACCUGGUGGUGUGUCCCGGCGCCCGCCCAGUGAAACAAAAGGCUAGGCGGUAGGCGCAAGAAAAGCAGGCGUUCAUUGUCCAAGAGGUGCGCAAGUUACAAGAAGCAGGGGUCAUAUGUAAGGUGUGGCAUCCGGAGUGGCUCGCCAACCCUGUCGUUGUCCGCGAGAAGGGCGCUUAGGAGCGUAUGUCCGUUGACUUCACUAGCCUCAACAAAGCUUGCCCUCAGGACCCCAUUCUGCUCCCGCGCAUUGACCAGAUUGUGGACUCUACCACGGGUUAUGAUCUAUUGUGCUUCUUGGAUGCGUUCUCAGGCUGCGGCCAGAUCAAGAUGGUGGCCGAAGAUGUCGAGAAGACGGCCUUCAUAUCGCCAUGCGGCGUUCACUGCUACACCUGCAUGCCCUUUAGGCUAACUAGCGCCGGCGCCACCUUCCAGCAGCUCAUGCACAUCAUGCUGGGGCCGCAGCUGUCGAAUAAUGCGGAGGCUUACAUCGACAACAUCGUGGUCAAAUCGUGCAAGGCAACAACCCUGAUCGAGGACCUGGAGGAAACAUUCGCCAACCUACGCAGGGUGAACAUCAGGCUUAACCCCGAGAAGUGUGUUUUUGAGGUCCCGUCCGGCAAGCUGCUCGGUUUCCUCGUCUCGCACCGAGGGAUAGAAGCGAACCCAGAGAAGGUCAAGGCUAUCGAAAAGAUGCGCCCACCCGAAACCCUCAAGGAAAUGCAGAAGCAGGCAGGAUGUGUGACCUCCUUGGGGUGCCUCAUAUCCAAGCUAUGCAAGUGCACCCUGCCAUUCUUCAAGUUGAUGAAGAGGAAGGGCCCCUUCGAAUGGACCCCCGAGGCGGAAGCAGCCUUCGAGGACCUCAGGAGGUACCUCACGAGCCCGACCAUCAUGGUGGUGCCCCGCUCUCGCGAGCCCCUGGUGCUUUACCUAGCGGCCACCCCGCAUUCAGCCAGCGCUGCACUCGUAGCAAUUCAACAGGAACGCGGCGACACUUGAGGGAAGCCCCAUGGCCCGUGCGGGGACCUGAAGCCUUCUGAAUCCCCGUCGCGUCAGGAUGGUACUCUUGAGGGCUUCGCCCCCUGACGUCCGAAGAGAUCCCCAAGGCCCGCGCACCUUGCGUGGAACGAGAGUCCGCCGACGCCCCGCGCCUCGUUGAACAACCGGUGUACUUCAUCAGCAUGGUGCUUCGGGAUGCGCGCAUGUAUUACUCUAUGCAGCAGAAGCUCCUCCUCGCUCUCCUGGUCGCCUGGAGGAAGUUGCGCCACUAUUUCCAGGGCCACCCCAUAAAGGUCAUAUCCACAUACCCCCUAGAGAGGAUAUUGCGCAGCCCUAACACCGCCGACAGGGUUGCCGAAUGGAACAUCGAGUUGCAGGCCUUCCAGCUGGAGUUCAGCAUGACCGGGGUAAUCAAGGGAGUAGCACUCACCAACUUCGUGGCAGAGUGGACAGACGCGUGCGACCAAGAGCUGUGUGAGGAUCGAUCCUUGGUGUCGGGCGAUAAGGUGCCCGAUGGCUGGGUCAUGCACUUCGAUGGAGCCUUCGCACGGCGAGGCACGGGAGCUGAGGUCAUGCUCAUCUCCCCGACCAAUGAUAAGCUCCACUAUGUCGUCCAGCUAUGCUUUCAACACGGCGAAAAGGUCUCCAACAACACCGUGGAGUAUAAGGGCUUGAUCGCUGGGCUCAAAGCCGCGGCCGCCCUAGGGGUCAAGCGCCUCACCAUCAAGGGCGACUCCCAGCUCCUUGUCAACUUUUCCAACAAGGAGUACAAGCCAAAGUACAAGCACAUGGCGGCAUACCUGGAGGAGGUACGUAAAAUCAAGAAACAAUUCUUGGGUUUGGAAUUGCAGCACGUCCCGAGGGGCGCGAACAAGGAAGCAGACGACAUCACCAAACAGGCAUCGCAAUGUGAGCCUCAGAGCCCAGGUGUCUUCGAGGAAAGGCUCUUCUGGCCAUCAUCCGCACCCCCGACGUCGGGGACGGUGAUGCCUCGGGAGGAGCUACCCCACACGCCACCAGUGUGCGGCCCAACCACAAGGACCCUCCUGCUCCUGGCGAUGGAGCCUUAGAGGGACAACUAGGACCAAGAGUUUGAGGCGUACUUACUCCAUGGCAUUCUGCCUAAGAAGGAGGAGGACGCGGAGCACGUGGCCCGCCAGGCCACCGCCUACUGCUUGCGGGAUGGCAAGCUGUACCGAAGGUGCCCCAACGACAUCUCGUUCAGGUGCAUUUCAGAAGAUCAAGGGCACGAGCUGUUGGCAGAUAUCCACGGGGAGAUUGCGGGCAUCAGUCGUCGGCACGCACCCUCGUGGGAAAGGUAUUCCGCAGCGGGUUCUACUGGCCUACGGCGCUCCACGACGCGACCGAGCUGGUCCGAUCUUGCGAGGCCUGCAAGUCCAUGCAAAGCAGAUCCAUCAGCCGGCGCAGGGGCUCUAGACCAUCCGGCUCUUGUGGCCUUUCGUGGUCUGGGGUUGGACAAACUGGGCCCAUUCCCCAGGGUGCUUGGGGGCUACCGCUAUGUCACCAUCGACAAGUUCACCAAGUUGGCGAAGGUGGAUCCGGUGCGCACCAUCCCCGCGGGAUCGGCCGUCAAGUUCAUCAAGGGCCUCGUGACCUGUUUGGUGUCCCCAACCACAUCAUCACUGACAAUGGCUCACAAGCAAUCUUUUCAGGUCAUAUUGUGCUAACCUUGGAACACAGAUACGCUACGCUUCGGUGAUCCACCCGAGGAGCAAUGGCCAGGCUGAGCAUGCCAAUGCAGAGGUCCUGAGGGGCCUCAAAACCAGAAGCUUCAAGAAGAAGCUCGAGGCAUGCGGCAGCGGUUGGCUUGAUGAGCUGCAGUCCACGUUGUGGUCUAUCCGCACCACCGCGACUAAACCCACCAGCAAGACCUCGCUCUACCUCGUCCACGGGGCAGAGGCGGUCCUUCCGCUUGAGAUCAAGCAUCAUUCCCCGUGGGUCUUGGCGUCUGACGAGGCGCGUCAUGAUGCCUCUCGGGGGACUGAUAUUGUGCUCGGAGAGGAGGCCCGCCACCAAGCCUCUCUCCGAGCCGCAAGGUACCAGCAGGCAUUGCGGCGCUACCACUGCCGCAACAUCCGCCCCCGAACCCUCGAAGUUGGUGACCUCGUCCUGUGAUGGGACCUCUCCAGGGAGGGCCUUCAUAAGCUCUCUCCCAUGUGGGUGGGCCCAUUUAGGGUCGCCCGCGUCUCUAGGCCUGGCGUCGCGCACCUGGAGUUGGAGGACGGGGUCCCCUUCCAGAAUGUCUGGAACAUCCAGCAUCUCCGCAAGUUCUACCCUUGACACUUUCACGUAAUAAUGAGUGGGGUUGUACACGCUCUGGAGUCUCCCGGUGUGCUGUUUUGUGGCCUCGCAGGAACUCCCACCCACGCCCAAGUGGAAGCCCCAUGCUCCGCGCUGGCGGACAACACAGUCGAACAGCGACUAUACCCACGCCCAACUGGAGGCCCCGUGCUCCGCUCUAGUGGGAAGACUAGCUUAGGCGCCGAACACGGUUGUUCUUUCAUUCUGUUGUAACCAAAUUUGCCUCUUCUGGGAAUGAAGUUGGAAGUUUUCGCGUCUUUAUUCGAAAGGGGUCGCAAUUUUUUUCCUUGCAUGUUUUCCUUCUUGCAUCUCGCUUUUAAAGGGCGUGACAGCUGCCAGUUGCUCCCUCUCGCGCGUCCUGUGAGCGGAGGUUGGACACGGUGUGUACGCUCGAGCCAGCCCUGGCAUCCUUGAGGCCUAGGCCACGACAGCCGCAGGUCCGCCCGUGCGCACACCUCGCCAAGACUUUGGCGUCUGAAUCCUUGUGUGACGCUCUCGAGCGAGCCAACAGGCACUUGUUGCCUUCGGCCCUGGCCUCACGAGCGCUCACCUCCUGGCCUUGCCAGGCAUCGCGACCCGGCUACCAGCAGCAAUCGACCCUCGCUCGGGAGCUCUAGAUGCAGGAUGGGCAUCAAGGAAGGGUGGCCUGGUAAAACACAAUCACGGUCAGGCACAUCGUUAAGGAGUCCUUCGCCAAGUGUUUUUGCAUCUCCACGAGGCUCGAUGCCAGAUGGAGGCGCCUCCAGAGGCCCUGAAUCCUCGCAAGUCCACCAGGGGCCUCGCGAGCCACGAGCCCCUCGANNNNNNNNNNNNNNNNNNNNNNNNNNNNNNNNNNNNNNNNNNNNNNNNNNNNNNNNNNNNNNNNNNNNNNNNNNNNNNNNNNNNNNNNNNNNNNNNNNNNNNNNNNNNNNNNNNNNNNNNNNNNNNNNNNNNNNNNNNNNNNNNNNNNNNNNNNNNNNNNNNNNNNNNNNNNNNNNNNNNNNNNNNNNNNNNNNNNNNNNNNNNNNNNNNNNNNNNNNNNAGCAUCGCGCCGAAAUGAGGGAUCAAAAGCUUCGCAGGAGCACGCCCCCACGACGCAGGAACCCUCCAACAGCCAUGAGCGCACCAGGCUAAGUUAUUCUAAUCGUGCUAGGCAGGAACCUUUCAGUUAAUGGUGAUAAAUGCUACAAUAUGAGCAGGAAACAAUAAUAUAAAGGUGCAAGCGCCGCAGUUCAAUACACGCCCCCGCGGGGCUCUCCACAACUCUUGAUGCAGGAAAUAAAAACACAGCAAAAGAAGCGGCCUCCUAAAGGCCACUCCUCCUGAAGCCCGGCUCCGGUGCCGCCCAUGCUCAGUCGGAGUCCUCCUCAUCCUUGAGAGGGGCACGGCGAUGUGGUGGCUCAUCGUCCUACUGGACCCGGGCGCGGCGGCUCGUCGUAGUCUUCAUUACUCGAGCUUCCCUCGCAGGAGGCGCCGCUGCUGCUGGUGGUGUCGCAGCCGUUGCCAAGGUCAAGUUCACCGCCGCGAUGAUCAUCAUUGUCGGAGAAGCGGUCGUCGUCGCUGCUGUCACCCUCCGGGCAGCACCCUAGGCGCCCGCCGUCCUUGCCAAAGAUCCUGACGAAGAGCAUUGCCACCUCGUCGUAAUUCAAGUGGAGGGUGUUCCUUCCCGUCAAACCGCGAGCGCAGGCAAACGUCUGCCACCCGUGGGUCAGGUACACCAGGCCCGAUGAGGUAACCUCAACCUCCGCCCAAGAGGACCGGUUGCAGGAACCAUCGGGCUACAGCCACAGCCCGGUGAGUCCUCCGGCCGGCAGCUCCUCGGCGAAGGAGCGUGCUACUUCUUGAGCUUGUGUUGGUUUCUCCCUUGAAGAGGAAAGGGUGAUGCAGCAAAGUAGAGUAAGUAUUUCCCUCAGCUUUUGAGAACCAAGGUAUCAAUCUAGUAGGAGAUAACACUCAAGUCACCGAAUACAUGCACAAACAAACACCAACUUGCACCCAACGUGAUAAGGGGUUGUCAAUCCCUUCACGGUUAUUUGCAAAGUGAGAUCUUAUAGAGAAGGAUAAACGGUAGAGUAAUAUUUUUGGUAUUUUUGGUUUAUGGAACAGAAAGUAAAAGAUUGCAAAGUAAGUAAAUAGGAAACAAAAAUUGUAGAUCAAAAACUUAUAUGAUGUAAAAUAGACCCAGGGGCCAUAGGUUUCACUAGAGGCUUCUCUCGAGAUAGAAAUUAUUACAGUGGGUGAACAAAUUACUGUCGAGCAAUUGAUAGAAAAACGCAAAGUUAUGACGAUAUCUAAGGCAAUGAUCAUGAAUAUAGGCAUCACGUCCGUGUCAAGUAGACCGAAAUGAUUAUGCAUCUACUACUAUUACUCCACACAUCGAUCGCUAUCCAGCAUGCAUCUAGAGUAUUAAGUUCAUAAAGAAGGGAGUAACGCAUUAGGCAAGAUGACAUGAUGUAGAGGAAUUAACUCAAGCAAUAUGAUGAAAACCCAUCUUUUUAUCCUUUAUGGCAACAAUACAAUACGUGCCUUGCUGCCCCUACUAUAACUGGGAAAGGACACCACAAGAUUGAACCAAAAGCAAAGCACUUCUCCCAUUGUAAGAAAAACCAAUCUAGUUGGCAAAACCAAAUUGGUAGCUCAAAUAGACUUGCAAAGAUAUCAAAUCAUGCAUAAGAAUUCAGAGAAGAUUCAAAUAAUAUUCAUAGAUAAGCUUGAUCAUAAAUCCACAAUUCAUCGGAUCUCGGCAAACACACCGCAAAAGAGUAUUACAUCUAACAGAUCUUCAAGAACAUCGGGGAGAACUUUGUAUUGAGAAUCAAAGAGAGAGAAGAAGCCAUCUAGCUACUAUCUAUGGACCCGUAGGUCUGUGGUAAACUACUCACGCUUCAUCGAAGAGGCAACGGUGUUGAUGUAGAAGCCCUCCGUGAUCGAAUCCCCCUCCGACAGGAUGCCGGAAAAGGCCCCAAGAUGGAAUCUCACUGGUACAGAAGGUUGUGGCGGUGGAAAACUGGUUUCGUUGCUCCCCUGGAUGUUUUUAGGGUAUAAGAGUAUAUAUAGGAGGAAUAUCUAGGUCAGGGGAUCCUCAAGGGGCCCACAAGGUUGGGGGGCGCGCCCUCCACCCUUGUGGUUGCCUCGAGGCUCUUUUGACUUGCACUCCAAGUCUCGCGGGUGUCUUCUGGUCCAAGAAAAAUCAUGGCGAAAGUUUUAUUCCGUUUGGACUUCGUUUGGUAUUCUUUUCUGCGAAACUCUAAAACAAGGAAAAAACAGAAACUGGCACUGGGCUCUAGGUUAAUAGGUUAGUCCCAAAAAUCAUAUAAAAUAGCAUAUUAAUGCAUAUAAAACAUCCAAAAUAGAUAAUAUAAUAGCAUGGAACAAUCAAAAAUUAUAGAUACGUUGGAGACGUAUCAAGCAUCCCCAAGCUUAAUUCCUGCUCGCCCUCGAGUAGGUAAAUGAUAAAAACAAAAUUUUUUGAUGUGGAAUGCUACCUAACAUAUUUAUCCAUGUAAUUAUCUUUAUUGUGGCAUGAAUGUUCAGAUCCGUAAGAUUCAAACCAAAAGUUUAUAUUGAUAUAAAAACAAUAAUACUUCAAUCAUACUAACAAAAGAAUUAUGUCUUCUCAAAAUAACAUGGCCAAAGAAAGCUUAUCCCUACAAAAUCAUAUAGUCUGGCUAUGCUCCAUCUUCAUCACACAAAACAUUUAAAUCAUGCACAUCCCCGAUGACAAGCCAAGCAAUUAUUUCAUACUUUUGAUGUUCUCAAACUUUUUCAACUUUCACGCAAUACAUCAGCGUGAGCCAUGGACAUAGCACUAUAGGUGGAAUAGACGGUGGUUGUGGAGAAGACAAAAAGAAGGAGAUAGUCUCACAUCAACAAGGUGUAUCAACGGGCUAUGGAGAUGCCCAUUAAUAUAUAUAUAUAUAUAUAUAUAUAUAUAUAUAUAUAUAUAUAGGGAUUGACUAUUCGUCACCCUGGGUGAGAAAUAAUUAUUCUUCACCCCCCUCUAAUUUACCAUCAAUGCACCGUAAUUUUACGUUCCGUAAGUUUUUUCUUAUUUUCGAUGUAAAAAGAGACUGUAAGAAAACAUAUAGUCGCCGUAAAAAAUAUUUUAUGUUAUAUAAAAUUACAAACGUAAAAACAUAGUGUAAAAUAUACAUAAACUACAAAUUUUCUUGUCUUAUGACCUACAUUUUUUUUCUUAUGCCAAAUUUUACGUAGUGAAUCAAUAGGAAUGUAACUAUUUGAAUUUCAAAUGUAAUUUAUUUAGGAAGUGAUCGUAAGAUUACCUCGGGUGAAGAAUAACUUAUUCUGCACCUGGGUGAUGAAUAGUAACACUAUAUAUAUAUAUAUAUAUAUCAAUGUGAGUGAGUAGGGAUUGCCAUGCGACGGAUGCACUAGAACUAUAAGUUUAUGAAAGCUCAAAAAAGAAAACUAAGUGGGUGUGCAUCCAACUUGCUUGCUCAUGAAGACCUAGGGCGUUUGAGGAAGCCCAUAGUUGGAAUAUACAAGCCAAGUUCUAAAAUGAAAAAUUCCCACUAGUAUAUGAAAGUGAUAUCAUAGGAGACUCUCUAUCAUGAAGAUCAUGGUGCUACUUUGAAGCACAAGUGUGGCAAAAAGGAUAGUAACAUUGUCCCUUCUCUCUUUUUCUCUCAUUUGUUUUCUCUUUUUUUUUCUUUUUUUCUCUUUUUUUUGGGCCUUCUAUUUUCUUAUUUGGCCUUUCUCUUUUUUUCCUCACAUGGGACAAUGCUCUAAUAAUGAAGAACAUCACACUUCUAUUUACUUACAACUCAAGAAUUACAACUUGAUACUAGAACAAAAAAUAUGACUCUAUGUGAAUGCCUCCGACGGUGUACUAGGAUGUGCAAUGAAUCAAGAGUGACAUGUAUAAAAAAUAUGAAGAAUAGUGGCUUUGCCAUAAAUACGAUGUCAACUACAUGAUCAUGCAAAGCAAAAUGACAAUGAUGAUGUAUGUCAUAGUAAAUGGAAUAGUGGAAAGUUGCAUGGCAAUAUAUCUCGGAAUGGCUAUGGAAAUGCCAUAAUAGGUAGGUAUGGUGGCUGUUUUGAGGAAGGAUAUGUGGUGGGUUUAUUGUACCGGCGAAAGUUGCGCGGUAAAAGUGAGGCUAGCAAUGGCGGAAAGGUGAGAGUGCGUAUAAUCCAUGGACUCAACAUUAGUCAUAAAGAACUCAUAUACUUAUUGCAAAAAUAUAUUAGUCAUCAAAACAAAGUACUACGCGCAGGCUCCUAGGGGGAUAGAUUGGUAGGAAAAGACCAUCGCUCGUCCCCAACCGCCACUCAUAAGGAAGACAAUCAAAAAACAUCUCAUGCUCCAACUUCGUUACAUAACGGUUCACCAUACGUGCAUGCUACGGGACUCACAAACUUUAACACAAGUAUUUCUCAAAUUCACAACUACUCACUAGCAUGACUCUAAUAUCACCAUCCUCAUACCUCCAAACAAUCAUUAGGAAUCAAACUUCUCAUAGUAUUCAACGCACUUUAUAUGAAAGUUUUUAUUAUAUCCUUCUUGGAUGCCUAUCAUAUUAGGACUAAUUUUAUAACCAAAGCAAAUUACCAUGCUGUUUAAAGACUCUCAAAAUAAUAUAAGUGAAGUACGAGAGUUCAUCAAUUUAUAUAAAAUAAAAACCACCGCCAUGCUCUAAAAAGAUAUAAGUGAAGCACUAGAGCAAAAUUGCCUAGUUCAAAAGAUAUAAGUGAAGCACAUCGAGUAUUCUAAUAAAUCAAGAUUCAUGUGUGUCUCUCUCAAAAGGUGUGUACAGCAAGGAUGAUUGUGUCAAAAUAAAAAGCAAAGAAUCAAAUCAUACAAGAGCUCCAAGCAAAAUACAUAUCAUGUGGUGAAUAAAAAUAUAGCCUCAAGUAAGGUUACUGAUAGACGAAGACGAAAGAGAGGAUGCCUUCCCGGGGCAUCCCCAAGCUUAGGCUUUUUGACAUCCUUGAAUAUUACCUUGGGGUGCCUUGGGAAUCCCCAAGCUUAGGCUCUUUCCACUCCUUUUUCCGUAGUCCAUCAAAUCCUUACCCAAAACUUGAAAAUUUCACAACACAAAACUCCAACAGAAAAUCUCAUAAGCUUCAUUAGUAUAAGAAAAUAAAUCACCACUUUAGGUACUAUUGUGAACUCAUUCUUUAUUUAUAUUGGUGUAAUAUCUAAUGUAUUUCAAUUUUUCCAUGGUUCAUACCCCCCGAUACUAGCCAUAGAUUCAUCAAAAUAAGCAAACAACACGUGAAACACAGAAUCUGUCAAAAACAGAACAGUCUGUAGCAAUCUGGAUAGUUCGCAUACUUCUGUAACUCUAAAAAUCCUGAGAAAAUAGGAAGUCCUGUUUAUUAAUCUUCUGCAAAAAGAAUCAACUAAAAAGCACUCUCCAGCUAAAAAUAAGAAUUGUUUUUGUGAGAGCAAAAGUUUCUGUUUUUCGGCAAGAUCAAAUCAACUAUCACCGUAGGCUAUCCCAUAGGUCUUACUUGGCACAAACAGUAAUUAAAACAUAAAGACACAUCUAACCAGAGGCUAGAUGAUUUAUUCAAAGCAAAACAGAACCUAAAAAGCAAAAAAAAAAAAUUGGGCUGCCUCCCAACGAGCACUAUUGUUUAACGCCCCUAGCUAGGCAUAAAACAUGAAUAGAUCUAAGUGUUAUCAUCUUUCGCAUGCAAUCCAUAAGUGGCUCUCAUAAUAGAUUCAUAAGGAAACUUAAUUUUCUUUAUUGGAAAGUGUUCCAUGUCUUUCCUUAACGGAAAUUGAAAUCUAAUGUUUCCUUCUUUCAUAUCAAUAAUUGCACCAAUCGUUCUAAGGAAAGGUCUACCAAGAAUAAUAGGACAUGUAGGAUUGCAAUCUAUAUCAAGAACAAUGAAAUCUACGGGCACAUAAUUCCUAUAUGCAACAAUAAAAACAUCAUUAAUUCUUCCCAUAGGUUUCUUAAUAGUGGAAUCCGCAAGAUGCAAAUUUAAGGAACAGUCAUCAAAUUCACGGAAACCUAACACAUCGCAUAAAGUUUUCGGAAUCGUGGAAACACUAGCACCCAAAUCACACAAAGCAUAGCAUUCAUAAUCUUUAAUCUUAAUCUUAAUAGAAGGUUCCCACUCAUCAUAAAGUUUUCUAGGAAUAGAAACUUCCAAAUUAAGCUUUUCUUCGUAAGAUUGCAUCAUAGCAUCAACGAUAUGUUUAGUAAAAGCUUUGUUUUGAUUAAAAGCAUGAGGAGAAUUCAACAUGGAUUGCAACAAGGAAAUACAAUCUAUUAAAGAACAAUUAUCAUAAUUAAAUUCCUCUAAAUCCAAAAUAGUGGGUUCAUUGCUAUCUAAAGUUUUGACCUCUCCAUCCCACUUUUAUCAAUUUUUGCAUCAAGAUCAAAAAACUCCGAAUUAUUGGGACACCUUCUACCUAAAGUUGACUCAUCUAGAAUCCCAUAUUUAUCAAGAUUUACAUUGGAAAACAAAUAUUCAAUAGGAGUCACGUCAAUCAUGUAAAUAUCUUCAUUAUUAUUCUCACGGAAACUAGAAGAACACGUUUUUAUAAACCAAUCCUUUUUAGCGUGCAUCUUAGCGGUUCUUUCUUUGCAUUCCUCAAUGGAAAUUCUCGUGGCCUUGAGAGACUCAUUGAUAUUAUGCUUCGGUGGAAUUGAUCUAAGUUUCAAAGAAUCAACAUCAAGAGAAAUUAUAUCCACGUUCCUAGCCAAAUCAUCAUUCUUAAGCAAUUUUUCUUCAAUCAAAGCAUUGAAAUUCUUUUUCUAACUUAUAAAUUCUUUAGCACUAUUAUCAAAUUCAGAGGGCAUCUUAUUAUAAUUUCCAUAAGAAUUGUUGUAGGAAUUACCAUAAUUAUUAGAGGAAUUACUAGGAAACGGCCUAGGAUUAAAAUUUCCUCUAUAUGCGUUAUUACCAAAAUUGUUCCUACCAACAAAAUUCACAACCAUAGAUUCAUUAUUGUUUUCAAUCAGAGUAGACAAAGGCAUAUCAUUAGGAUCAAUAGGAGCACUCUUACUAGCAAAAAAUUUCAUAAGCUCAUCCAUCUUUCCACUCAAAACAUUUAUUUCUUCAAUCGCAUGCACCUUUUUACUAGUAGAAGAUCUUUCGGUAUGCCAUUGAGAAUAAUUAACCAUAAUUUUAUCUAGGAGUUUAGUAGCUUCUCCUAAAGUAAUUUCCAUAAAAGUUCCUCCCACGGCCGAGUCUAAAAGAUUUCUAGAAGCAAAAUUCAAUCCGGCAUAAAAAAUUUGUAUAAUCAUCCACAAAUUCAAACCAUGAGUAGGGCAAUUUGUAAUCAUCAAUUUCAUCCUCUCCCAAGAUUGUGCAACAUGUUCAUGAUCAAGCUGCUUAAAAUUCAUAAUAUCGUUCCUAAGGGAGAUGAUCUUAGCAGGAGGGAAGUACUUGGAAAUGAAAGCAUCUUUACACUUAUUCCAUGAAUCAAUACUAUUUUUAGGCAAAGAUGAAAACCAAGUUUUAGCGCGAUCUCUAAGUGAGAACGGAAAUAGCUUCAACUUAACAAUAUCAUUAUCCACAUAUUUUUCCUUUUGCAUAUCACACAAAUCAACGAAAUUAUUAAGAUGGGAUGCGGCAUCUUCAUUGGGAAGGCCGGAAAAUUGAUCUUUCAUAACAAGAUUCAGCAAAGCAGUAUUAAUUUCACAAGAUUCCACAUUAGCAUCAGGAGCAAUCGGAGUACUAAUAAAAUCAUUAUUAUUGGUGUUGGAAAAGUCACACAAUUUGGUAUUAUAUUGAGCCAUCGCGACAAACCAAGCAAUCCAACACAUGAGUACACGAAAAGCAAGCGAAGAAGACGAACGGAAGAGGGGCGAAGAAAAGGCAAAUCUUUUCGAAGAUCGUUUUAGAAGUGGGGGAGAGGAAAACGAGAGGCGAAUGGCGAAUAAUGUAAUGCGAGGGAUGAGAGUUUAUGAUGGGUACUUGGUAUGUCUUGACUUGGCAUAGAUCUCCCCGGCAAUGGCGCCAGAAAUUCUUCCUACUACUUCUUGAGCUUGCGUUGGUUUUUCCCUUGAAGAGGAAAGGGUGAUGCAGCAAAGUAGAGUAAAUAUUUCCCUCAGCUUUUGAGAACCAAGGUAUCAAUCCAGUAGGAUAUAACGCUCAAGUCACUGAAUACAUUCACAAACAAACACCAACUUGCACCCAACGAGAUAAGGGGUUGUCAAUCCCUUCACGGUUAUUUGCAAAGUGAGAUCUGAUAGAGAUGGAUAAACGGUAAUAUUUUUGGUAUUUUUUGUUUAUGGAACGGAAAGUAAAAGAUUGCAAAUAAAGUAAAUAGCAAACUAAAAUUGUAGAUCGGAAACUUAUAUGACGUAAAAUAGACCCGGGGCCAUAGGUUUCACUAGAGGCUUCUCUCAAGAUAGAAAUUAUUACGGUGGGUGAACAAAUUACUGUCGAGCAAUUGAUAGAAAAGUGCAAAGUUAUGGCGAUAUCUAAGGCAAUGAUCAUGAAUAUAGGCAUCAAGUCUGAGUCAAGUAGACUGAAACGAUUCUGCAUCUACUACUAUUACUCCACACAUCGAUCUCUAUCCAGCAUGCAUCUAGAGUAUUAAGUUCAUAAAGAAUGGAGUAACACAUUAGGCAAGAUAACAUGAUGUAGAGAAAUUAAUUCAAGCAAUAUGAUGAAAACCCCAUCUUUUUAUCCUCGAUGGCACCAAUACAAUACAUGCCUUGCUGCCCCUACUGUCACUGGGAAAGGACGCCGCAAGAUUGAACCCAAAGCUAAGCACUUCUCCCAUUGCAAGAAAAACCAAUCUAGUUGGCCAAACCAAAUCGAUAGUUAGAGACUUGCAAAGAUAUCAAACCAUGCUUAGAAGAAUUCAGGGAAGAUUCAAAUAAUAUUCAUAGAUAAUCUUGAUCAUAAGUCCACAAUUCUUUGAAUCUCGGCAAACACACCGCAAAAGAGUAUUACAUCGAAUAGAUCUCCAAGAACAUCGAGGAGAACUUUGUAUUGAGAAUCAAAGAGAGAGAAGAAGUCCUCUAGCUACUAGCUAUGGACUCGUAGGUCUGUGGUAAACUACUCACGCUUCAUCGAAGAGGCAACGGUGUUGAUGUAGAAGCCCUCCGUGAUCGAAUCCCCCUCCGGCAGGAUGCCGGAAAAGGCCCCAAGAUGGAAUCUCACUGGUAUAGAAGGUUGCGGCGGUGGAAAAGUGGUUUCGUUGCUCCCCUGGAUGUUUUUAGGGUAUAAGAGUAUAUAUAGGAGGAAGAUCUAGGUCAGGGGAUCCUCGAGGGGCCCACAAGGUUGGGGGGCGCGCCCUCCACCCUUGUGGUCGCCUCGAGGCUCUUCUGACUUGCACUCCAAGUCUCCUGGGUGUCUUCUGGUCCAAGAAAAAUCAUGGCGAAAGUUUUAUUCCGUUUGGACCGUUUGGUAUUCCUUUUCUGUGAAACUCUAAAACAAGGAAAAAAUAGAAACUGGCACUGGGCUCUAGGUUAAUAGGUUAGUCCCAAAAAUCAUAUAAAAUAGCAUAUUAAUGCAUAUAAAACAUCCAAAACAGAUAAUAUAAUAGCAUGGAACAAUCAAAAAUUAUAGCUAUGUUGGAGACAUUUCAGGGCGCGGGUGCUGGAUCGAUGUGCCGGGCGGACCCUCCACCCACACCACAAACUCGCGGGCUGUGUCGUCCGAGCGAGCCCGCGGGCGAGGUGGUCGGACGGCCACCUCGUGCCUCCCUCCUCGGCCCCUUCCUCUGUAGCUUCCAUGGCCGCCCUCGUGGGAAGGAUCCUUCCCGCGACUACUGGAGCCGGUGUGGACCCCGAGCGGAGCACGCUCGCACCGGAGAGGGGCCGCCGCAGGCAUCGCGGUGGCCUUGUGAGGGAGGUCACGCCCUCUCUUCGACGGGGGCAGCUCCGGCUCUUCCCGUGGCGCCUUCCCCUUCACAGCGGCGGAAAACCUUCUCAGCAGCGCCAUGGCUGCUUUGACGGAAGUGUGGAAUGGAGGAGCAAGAAGAUGGAGAUGGGUUCGGGCUCCGCUCCCUGUGCCUUCUUAUAGGCGAUCGGAGAAAGCCAACCGGCGUCCCUUCGUAUUCGAGCAAUGAUGGCUCCACGGCGCGCGCCAGGCUUUUUGUCAGCCUGGGCAGUUGCCGAGGCGACGUGGGGAAGCAGAGGCAUCCGCGUCCCGUCGUGCGCCACGCGUCAAGCCUGGCCCGCGGGUGGUUAGGGGUCGCGUCAAUUUUUCCUUCUUUCCUUGGCUUCGCCUCGAAGCCAUCCCGAGCGCACCUUGGGCCCGGGGGCUACUGUCGGCGUUCUGGGAUCGGGGGUACCCAAACUUGCCUACCUGCAGCCCAGCACGCGGCCUCAUCGACGGCCCAGUACGGCCCAGCUACAAGACCCCCAAGACAAGACCCUCGCGAGGGCCCCCGGCCUCACGAGGCGGAUGACACCAAGACAUCUCGAGGGGCCACUCCCCGAGCCUGCCUUCCGAGGAGCGGAGACUUCUACGCAGGUACCCAGCCUCACCAGGCUCUCGAUGCCGGAUGCCAUGACGACCAAGGUCAGGCGGGCGCCAGCGGGCACAGAGGAGGAAAGUUUCCUCUUUGGUUCUAAGGAAGCAAGGACGUAUGUGGGUUCCCAAGGAAUCCCCUAAAGGUUUCCAUUCCGGUGCAAGGAGACCAAGACCACGAGCUCGGCAGGACGGAUGCCAUCGCCGAGCCCACCUUUGUGUCACGGCCAGAAGCUUUCAGGCGAAGACCACCUUUCGUCAGGAUAAGAUGUACUUCUUGUCCCCUUUAAAAUUUUCCAUUGUGGGAUCCCUUCUCGCCUAAGCUAUGGGAGAAGAGGAAUAAGGCCACCAUAAGUAUAGGCUAGUCUCCACCAUAGAGAGGGAUCAGAUCCAUUCCACCUUCAUCCACUAUACUAGUUCAUCCACAACCUCCUCGUGAGGCCAAUCCACCACAAAGCAGGAGUAGGGUUUUACACCGCAAGGUGCCCAAACCUGGGUAAACUGUCGUAUUCUUCCUUCCCCGCUCGCAUGAACUCGAUGAGGCAAGGCCGUGAGGUGAUGAGCUUGAGGCUGGAGCUGGUUUAGAUCUUCGCACGCGCCCCAGAGCUCGAACCUUGUUGGGUCCAUGGAGCCCCGAUUCCGACAGCCACAUCCACCUACAACAUCUACAUGGUGGACACCCCCAAGGACGACGGCGACGGUGCUAAUGGGGACGGCACCCCUAGAGGGGAUGCUAACAAUCCUGGAGAGGAGCCCCCCAAACGCCGAAGACAACACCAACGAUCCAAGGGGUGACCUAGUAGGGAAAGCAACACGGGCAGCGAAUGGGCCUAUAGCCUAGUGGUUGUAGCGACCUUAGUAGCACCCCAGGUCCUGGGUUUGACUGCCAGUGGGAGUGGAUUUAAAACAGAUCUGGGCAAAAAAAUUCUAGAAUAAAAGGAUUGUGGGUCUGUUUCUCUACAGUAAAUAGUCAAAAAAAGCAACACGGGCACCAAAGAAGGUGACACUCCGGACAACGUGGAAGACCUCAGUGACCCCGCCCCCGAGCACCAGUCUGAUGGCUCAAAAGGGCAUGAGGAUCAGGAUAACCCUGAGGACCCUCGCGAUUCCGGAGACAGCAAUUAUAUGCCCCUCUCCAAAGAAGAGAUCAGCCUCGGAGCCGAGGAUUUCAUCGUCCCAGAAGAUCCAUUGGAUCAGGAGCGCUUCAAGCGACAUCUUAUAGCCACCGCACGAAGCCUAAAGAAGUAGGAGCAAAAGAUAAAGGCCGAACAAGCUACCCUCAAUGACAGAUGGACCAAGGUCCUAGCAGCUGAAGAAGGGUACAGCUAUGAACAGCAAAUGAAGAGCUACCCCAAGCGCAGGUUGUUGCCACAAUUCGACGACGAGGCUUUCAAGGCUGCACCACCCAAACAAACGCGAGGCGACAAGCCUGACCGCCCCCCUUGAGGAAGGGACGGGCCAGCUAGGGAGGCCGAACACCUACCUGCUCCUCCCCGCCGUAAAGUCAAGGAGGCAGCACCGCCAAAAUAUCAAUACAAUCUUCAGCACGACCUGGCUGUUAGAGCAAGCCAGUCGCCGUCCAUCUAUGGAUCAAAAGAAUACCCCCCCAGAAGGAAGAUACAGAUACCAAGCGUGGCUCGACCGAAACGACAGAGUUCGGGAACAACAUCGGGCCAGGAUGGAAUCCGAGGUUCGACGCGAUGUGGCCCAAAUAAGGGGCGCCACUCACCCAAUGUGCUCCAUCGAUGAGGUGAUGCGGCACCAAUUCCCGGAAGGGUUCAAUCGAGCCGUACGAUGGAACUACGGAUCCAGCAGUGUUGUAAUGCCCACGAUGUGGCUAUAUCUCCCACGUGUCGAGGCACGACUUAGAGGCAUAACCGCAUUGUAGGUAUUGUCACAAGAAGGGUCAUCUUCACACAAUCCCAUGUAAUGAACAAGAAUGGGAUAAAGAGAGUUGGCUUACAAUCGCCACUUCACACAAUACAUAAAUUAAAUUCAUACAUCAUCCAAAAUCCGCACAUAGACCGACUACGGUCAAAUCCAAAAGAAAGGAAGAUAACCCCAAAUGCUAGAUCCCCGAUCGUCCCAACUGGGCUCCACUACUGAUCAUCAGGAAACGAAACAUAGUAACGACCACGUUCCUCGUCGAACUCCCACUUGAGCUCGGUUGCGUCAUCCGCACUGGUAUCGUCGGCACCUGCAACUGUUUUGGUAGAAUCUGUGACUCACGAGGACUCAGCAAUCUCACACCCACGAGAUCAAGACUAUUUAAGCUUGUAGGAAGGAUGGGGUAAUGAGGUGGAGCUGCAGCAAGCACUAAGCAUAUAUGGUGGCUAACAUACGCAAAUAAGAGCGAGAAGAGGAGCAACGCAACGGUCGCGAAGCUAGAAAUGAUCAAGAAGUGAUCCUAAAACUACUUACGUUCAUACAUAACCCAAACCGUGUUCACUUCCCGGACUCCACCGAAAAGAGACCAUCACGGCUACACACACGGUUGAUGUAUUUCAAUUAAGUCAAGUGUCAAGUUCUCUACAACCGGACAUUAACAAAUUCCCAUCUGCCACAUAACCGCGGGUACGGCUUUCGAAAGAUAAUACCCUGCAGGGGUGUCCCAACUUAGCCCAUUAUAAGCUCUCGCGGUCAACGAACGAUAAACCUUCUCCCGGGAAGUCCCGAUCAGUCUCGGAAUCUUGGUUUACAAGACAUUUCGACAAUGGUAAAACAAGACCAGCAAAGCCGCCCGAAUGUGCCGACAAAUCCUGAUAGGAGCUGCACAUAUCUCGUUCUCAGGGCACACCGGAUGGGCAAGACGUCGAGUUGGCAUAGACCCUGGUUGCCCAGGGGGCGCCGGACAUCGCCCGGUUUGGGCCAGCACUCGAAGGAGCACUGGUCCGAGGGUUUAAAUAAAGAUGACCCUCGGGCUCGCGAAAACCCAAGGGAAAAAGGCUUAGGUAGGCAAAUAUAAAACCAAGGUUGGGCCUUGCUGGAGGAGUUUUAUUCAAGGCGAACUGUCAAGGGGGUCCCAUAAAUCACCCAACCGCGUAAGGAACGCAAAAUCAAGGAACAUAACACCGGUAUGACGGAAACUAGGGCGGCAAGAGUGGAACAAAACACCAGGCAUAAGGCCGAGCCUUCCACCCUUUACCAAAUAUAUAGAUGCAUUAAUUAAAUAAGAGAUAUUGUGAUAUCCCAAAAUAUCCAUGUUCCAAGAUGGAACCCACUUCAACUUCACCUGCAACUAGCAACGCUAUAAGAAGGGUUGAGCAAAAGCGGUAACUUAGCCAAACAACGGUUUGUUAGGAAAGGAUGGUUAGAGGCUUGACAUGGCAAUAUGGGAGGCAUGAUAUAGCAAGUGGUAGGUAGCGCAGCAUAGCAAUAGAGCGAACAACUAGCAAGCAAAGAUAGAAGUGAUUUCGAGGGUAUGGUCAUCUUGCCUGCGAGGUUCUCAGAGUUGUCGAAAGCUUGAUCCUCGUAAGCAUACUCAACAGGUUCUUCGUUCACGAACUCGUGUCUCGGCUCUCCCACAGCAAGAACACAAGCAAUGGAACCACAAUCAAUCACGAGAAAUGCACAAGCAACAUGAUGCAAUACAUGCAUGAUAUGUGAGAUGUGAUAUGCGAUGCAUAUGCGUGCUCCGGAAGAAAAAGGAUGAACAAGGCAUCAACUUGGCAAACCAAGUAUGCCACUGGAAAGAUGAGAUGAUUUCGGUCGAAAUCUAUAUAAAGAUCACCGGAAACGGAUGCACGGUUUGCAAAUGGCAAGCAAAACAAGGAUGUCACAAUUCUGCGAUUAACAGCAUGAUAACACUUAGAAUACAUCAAGUAACUAUGCUACAGCACCCCAACAUAGCAACAAAGAAUAUGGCAGUGAUAUGCAAGAGAUGGUUGACAAAAGAUGAACACUGAGCUAUGGCUAGAUCACACAAUAAUAGGUUCUAACAAUCAUGGCAAAAGUGCAAAAGAUAUCAGCUUCACAGACUUGGUGAAAAUACUGAACAUGGCUGAAACAGCAUCAGGUAGCAAUGUUCAGAGCAAGCAAAACACAUGCUACCGGAACUUAUCAAAGCACAACAAGGCAUGGCAUAAAUAUACUAAAUUCAUAGAACAAAAGUCCCUUACUGAUCAUGAGCGAAAAAGGCACAGAAGAUAUGAUGGCACCUCUAUAAACAUAGCAAUUUUUAUUUCCAGAUUCAGACUUAGCAGAAAAUAGAGCAUGGCAUUAAUAGAAUUAUGAAGGCAUCUUUCCAAGCUCGAUUCACUCGUCACAAAGCAAUGCAUGACAAAACAAGCAUACCUACAGCAAGAAGACAUGUUCAUGAAGCUAAUCAUGGCAAGAGUAAGUUCAUAGCAUGCAUGUAUCACUAGUAACAUCCAUGGCAAAAUUGAAUAUCAUGUUAACAAUCUGCCAGGAACAUUUUAUAGCAAAAGUAGAGCAAGAUUAAGACAUGCUAGGGCACUCCAUAAUUACAAACAGGGUCAUGGAUGGAUAGAGCACAACUAUAUGUCUAAAACAUCCUUACUGAACAUACUCAAAAGAAGCAUGGAUCUCACUAUAGCCACAUGGAUACAUGGCAUCAAAAUAACAGCAGGAAAAGACUUGGCAAAAUUCCAAGUCACUGAAAACAGAAACAUCACGAAGCCUAGUUUGCAUGCUUGUGCUAGUCACCACAAAUAUCACAAAAAUACAUGGCAUACACCCCUGUAAAUAUGGCAUGGCAUAUAUCAAAACACAUGUAGAGCUCGUGCUCAUAAGAUGCACACAUCAAAUGCAACAAAAAUAACAAAACAUCAAGUUCUGAUAAGUAACAGCAGUAAACAUCAUAUAGCACUCUUGAAACGAAGAUUUAGGCAUCAAGAUGAGCUUAAACAGACAUGGCACAAUGGAACAAAAUGAAGAGCAUAACCUGAUGAACAUUUCGAUAUAUCAUGCGCAUGAAACGGAGUAGCACACAAAGAGUUAUGGCAUGAUGAACAUGGCAACAUAAUGUGAUAAUCUCAUGACAGGAUUUCGGGGUCAACCUUUUCCAGAUCUAGGGUUCUUCGUGGGCACGCGAACCGAGGCGGGGCCGGAGCUUCACCGGAGUUGGAGGAAGGGGCGGCCGGAGAAGAGCUUGGGGGAGGUCGUCGGGGUCGGGCCGGCCGGAUCCGGCGAGGGGGAGGCCGGGGCGCGCGAUAGAGCGGGCGGACACAGCGUGGAGGCGUGACGGAGGCNNNNNNNNNNNNNNNNNNNNNNNNNNNNNNNNNNNNNNNNNNNNNNNNNNNNNNNNNNNNNNNNNNNNNNNNNNNNNNNNNNNNNNNNNNNNNNNNNNNNNNNNNNNNNNNNNNNNNNNNNNNNNNNNNNNNNNNNNNNNNNNNNNNNNNNNNNNNNNNNNNNNNNNNNNNNNNNNNNNNNNNNNNNNNNNNNNNNNNNNNNNNNNNNNNNNNNNNNNNNNNNNNNNNNNNNNNNNNNNNNNNNNNNNNNNNNNNNNNNNNNNNNNNNNNNNNNNNNNNNNNNNNNNNNNNNNNNNNNNNNNNNNNNNNNNNNCCGCGCGGGGCGGCGCCGCCGAUCUGGGCCGGGAGGGCCUCCCACGGGCUUCGGCGGCGGGGGCGGCGAAGUGGGGCGCGGCUUGCCACGUGGCGGCGCGCGGUUGGACGAGGGGACGGCAGCGGAUGUGUCCGUCGGUGGAGGAGAAGGUGUCCGGCGACGCGAGGGGAAUUUAUAGGGUUUCCACCGUGAUCUUGGAGGGGAAGAGGCAUUUAUAUAGAUGGAGGGAGCUAGGAGACUCCAAAUGAGGAGCGGUUUUCGCCCACACGAUCACGAUCGAAUGACCGAGAGCAUGGAGGGGGCUUAGAUGGGUUAUUGGGCUAUUUGGAGGGGUGUUUGGCUGCAACACACAAAAGGCCUUUGCGGUUACCCGGUUAACCGUUGGAGCAUCGAACGACCUCCAAAUGGAACGAAACUUGACAAGUGGUCUACCGGUGGUGUACCAAGGCCACUUGGCAAACCUCGGUCCAUUCCGAGAACGUUUAACACCCGCUCACGAAAAGAGACAAGAGGGGUGCGUCGGUGCAUGUGGGAGUGUCAGAUUGCAAAACGAAAAACGGGGAAAAUGCUCGGAUGCAUGAGACGAACACGUAUGCAAAUGAGAUGCACAUGAUGACAUGAUAUGCAAUGCUUGACAUGAACAAAAUGCAAAACGAAAGACAAAACCUGACCAUGAAGGGAAUAUCAUAACACAUAGCCGAAAAUGGCAAGAGUUGGAGUUACAAAUAUGGAAAGUUACAUCCGGGGUGUUACAAGUGUGGAUUGAGGAUUUUCUUCUCCACAUUCAUAUGGCAUGGGGAGACUGUUGGGGAACGUAGUAUUUCAAAAAAAAAUUACCUACGAUCACGCAAGAUCUAUCUAGGAGAAGCAUAGCAACGAGCGGGGAGAGUGUGUCCACGUACCCUCGUAGACCGAAAGCGGAAGCGUUUAGUAACGUGGUUGAUGUAGUCGAACGUCUUCGUGAUCCAACCGAUCCAAGUACCGAACGUACGGCACCUCCGCGUUCAGCACACGUUCAGCUCAAUGACGUCCCUCGAUCUCUUGAUCCAGUUGACGAUGAGGGAGAGUUCCAUCAUAACGACGGUGUGGUGACGGGGAUGAUGAAGUUACCGGCGCAGGGCUUCGCCUAAGCACUACGACGAUAUGACCGAGGUGUGUAACUGUGGAGGGGGGCACCGCACACGGCUAAGACAAUUGUCUGUUGUGUCUUUGGGGUGCCCCCCUGCCCCUGUAUAUAAAGGAGGCGAGGAUGAGGCCGGCCAACAAGGGGCGCGCCAGGGAGAGGGGAGUCCUACUAGGACUCCAGUCCUAGUAGGAUUCGGCCCCACCCAUUUUUCCUUCUAUGGGAGGGGGAAAAGGGGAAGGAGAGGGAGUAGGAGAAGGAAAGGGGGUGGCGCCCCCUUCCCAAGUCCAAUUAGGCCUCCUCCCUUGUGGGGGGUGCACCAGCCCCUUGUGGGCUGGUUAGACUCCCACCUAUGGCCCAUAAGGCCCAUAUCUUUCCCCGGUGGGUUCCAGUAACCCCUCCAGUACUCCGGUAUGUACCCGAUACACUCCGGAACCCUUCCGGUGUCCGAAUACUACCCUCCAAUAUAUCAAUCUUUUCCUCUCGACCAUUUCGAGACUCCUCGUCAUGUCCGUGAUCUCAUCUGGGACUCCGAACAAACUUCGGUCAUCAAAUCACAUAACUCAUAAUACAAAUCAUCAUCGAACAUUAAGCGUGCGGACCCUACGGGUUCGAGAACUAUGUGGACAUGACGGAGACACAUCUCCGGUCAAUAACCAAUAGCGUAACCUGGAUGCUCAUAUUGGCUCCUACAUAUUCUACGAAGAUCUUUAUCGGUCAAACCGCAUAACAACAUACGUUGUUCCCUUUGUCAUCGGUAUGUUACUUGCCCGAGAUUCGAUCGUCGGUAUCAUCAUACCUAGUUCAAUAUCGUUACCGGCAAGUCUCUUUACUCGUUCCCUAAUGCAUCAUCCCGCAACUAACUCAUUAGUCACAUUGCUUGCAAGGCUUAUAGUGAUGAGCAUUACCGAGAGGGCCUAGAGAUACCUCUCUGAUACAUGGAGUGACAAAUCCUAAUCUCAAUCUAUGCCAACCCAACAAACACCAUCGGAGACACCUGUAGAGCAUCUUUAUAAUCACCCAGUUACGUUGUGACGUUUGAUAGCACACUAAGUGUUCCUCCGGUAUUCGGGAGUUGCAUAAUCUCAUAGUCAGAGGAACAUGUAUAAGUCAUGAUGAAAGCAAUAGCAAUAAAACUAAACGAUCAUUAUGCUAAGCUAAUGGAUGGGUCUUGUCCAUCACAUCAUUCUCUAAUGAUGUGAUCCCGUUCAUCAAAUGACAACACAUGUCUAUGGCUAGGAAACUUAACCAUCUUUGAUUAACGAGCUAGUCAAGUAGAGGCAUACUAGGGACACUCUGUUUGUCUAUGUAUUCACACAUGUACUAAGUUUCCGGUUAAAACAAUUCUAGCAUGAAUAAUAAACAUUUAUCAUGAUAUAAGGAAAUAUAAAUAACAACUUUAUUAUUGCCUCUAGGGCAUAUUUCCUUCAGUCUCCCACUUGCACUAGAGUCAAUAAUCUAGUUCACAUCGUCAUGUCAUUUCACACCAAUAGUUCACAUCUUUAUGUGAUUAGUUCACAUCUCCAUGUGACUAAUACCCAAAGGGUUUACUAGAGUCAAUAAUCUAGUUCACAUCGCUAUGUGAUUGACACCCAAAGAGUGAUCAUGUUUUUCUUGUGAGAGAAGUUUAGUCAACGGGUCUGCCACAUUCAGAGCCGUAUGUAGUUUGCAAAUUUUCUAUGUCUACAAUGCUCUACACGGAGCUACUCUAGCUAAUCGCUCCCACUUUCAAUAUGUAUCUAGAUCGAGACUUAGAGUCAUCCAGAUCGGUGUCAAAGCUUGCAUCGACAUAACUCUUUACGACGAACUCUUUGUCACCUCCAUAACCGAGAAAAAUUUCCUUAUUCCACUAAGGAUAAUUUUGACUGAUAUUCAGUGAUCCACUCCUAGAUCACUAUUGUACCCUCUUGCCAAACUCAUGGUGAGGUACACAAUAGGUCUCGUACACAACAUAGCAUACUUUAUAGAACCUAUGACUGAGGCAUAGAGAAUGACUUUUCAUUCUCUUUCUAUUUUCUGCUGUGGUCGGGUUUUGAGUCUUUACUCAACUUCACACCUUGCAACACAAGCAAGAACUCCUUUGACUGUUCUAUUUUGAACUACUUCAAAAACUUGUCAAGGUAUGUACUCAUUGAAAAAAUUUAUCAAGCGUCUUGAUCUAUCUCUAUAGAUCUUGAUGCUCAAUAUGUAAGCAGUUUCACCAAGGUCUUUCUUUGAAAAACUCCUUUUAAACACUCCUUUAUGCUUUCUAGAAAAUUCUACAUUAUUUCCGAUCAACAAUAUGUCAUUCACAUAUACUUAUCAGAAAUGCUGUAGUGCUCCCACUAACUUUCUUAUAAAUACAGGCUUCACCGCAAGUCUGUAUAAAACUAUAUAUGCUUUGAUCAACUCAUCAAAGUGUAUAUUCCAACUCCGAGAUGCUUGCACCAGCCCAUAGAUGGAUCGCUGGAGCUUGCACACUUUGUUAGCACCUUUAGGAUUGACAAAACCUUCUUGUCGUAUCAUAUACAACUCUUCUUUAAGAAAUCCAUUAAGGAAUGCAGUUUUGACAUCCAUUUGCCAGAUUUCAUAAAAUGUGGCAAUUGCUAACAUGAUUCGGACAGACUUAAGCUUCUCUACGAGUGAGAAAUCUCACCAUAGUCAACACCUUGAACUUGUCGAAAACUUUUUGUUGAAAAUUCGAGCUUUGUAGAUAGUAACACUACUAUCAGCGUCCGUCUUCCUCUUGAAGAUCCAUUUAUUCUCUAUGGCUUGCCGAUCAUCGGGCAAGUAAACUAAAGUCCAUACUUUGUUCUCAUACAUGGAUGAUGGAUCCCAUCUCAGAUUUCAUGACCUCAAGCCAUUUCGCGGAAUUUGGGCUCAUCAUCGCUUCCUCAUAGUUCGUAGGUUCGUAGUAACAUGACCUCCAGAACAGGGUUAUCAUACCACUCUGAUGCAGAUCUUACUCUGGUUGACCUACAAGGUUCGGUAGUAACUUGAUCAGAAGUUUUCAUGAUCAUCAUCAUUAGCUUCCUCACUAAUUGGUGUAGGAAUCACUAGAACUGAUUUCUGUGAUGAACUACUUUCUAAUAAGGGAGCAGGUACAAUUACCUCAUCAAGUUCUACUUUCCUCCCACUCACUUCUUUCGAGAGAAACUCCUUCUCUAGAAAGGAUCCACUCUUAGCAACAAAGAUCUUGCCUUCGGAUCUGUGAUAGAAGGUGUACCCAACAGUUUCUUUUGGGUAUCCUAUGAAGAUGCACUUCUCCGAUUUGGGUUUGAGCUUAUCAGGUUGAAACUUUUUCACAUAAGCAUCACAACCACAAACUUUAAGAAACGAUAGCUUAGGUUUCUUGCUAAACCACAGUUCAUACGGUGUCGUCUCAACGAAUUUUUAGACGGUGCCCUAUUAACGUGAAUGCAGCUGUCUCUAAUGCAUAACCCCAAAACGAUAACGGUAAAUCAGUAAGAGACAUCAUAGAUCGCACCUUAUCUAAUAAAGCGCGGUUCGAUGUUCAGACACACCAUUAUGUUGUGGUGUUCAGGGUGGCGUGAGUUGCGAAACUAUUUCGCAUUGCUCAAAUGAAGACCAAACUCGUAACUCAAAUAUUCACCUCCACGAUCAGAUCGUAGAAACUUUAUUUUCUUGUUACGAUGAUUUUCCACUUCACUCUGAAAUUCUUUGAACUUUUCAAAUGUUUCAGACUUAUGUUUCAUCAAGUAGAUAUACCCAUAUCUGCAUAAAUCAUCUGUGAAGGUCGGAAAAUAACGAUACCGCGAGCCUCAACACUCAUCGGACCGCAUACAUAAGUAUGUAUUAUUUCCAACAAGUCUGUUGCUCGCUCCAUUGUUUCGAAGAACGGAGUCUUAGUCAUCUUGCCCAUGAGGCAUUGUUCGGAAGCAUCAAGUGAUUCCAAAAGCCCAUCAGCAUGGAGUUUCAUCAUGCACUUUACACCAAUAUGACCUAAACAGCAGUGCCACAAAUAAGUUGCACUAUCAUUAUUAACUUUGCAUCUUUUGGCUUCACUAUUAUGAAUAUGUGUAUCACUACGAUCAAGAUUCAAUAAACCAUUUAUAUUGAGUAUACGACCAUAGAAGGUUUUAUUCAUGUAAAUAGAACAACAAUUAUUCUUUGACUUAAAUGAAUAACCAUAUUGCAAUACACAUGAUCCAAUCAUAUUCAUGCUCAACGCAAACACCAAAUUACAUUUAUUUUAGGUUUAACACUAAUCCCGAAGGUAAAGGGAGUGUGCGAUGGUGAUCUUAUCAACCUUGGAAUCACUUCCAACUCACAUCAUCACCUCGCCCUUAACUAGUCUCUGUUUAUUUUGCAACUCCCGUUUCGAGUUACUACUCUUAGCAGCUGAACCAGUAUCAAAUACCGAGCGGUUGCUAUAAACACUAGUAAAGUACACAUCAAUAACAUGUAUAUCAAAUAUACCUUUGUUCACUUUGCCAUCCUUCUUAUCCGCCAAGUAUCUAGGGCAGUUCCACUUCCAGUGACCAUUUCCUUUGCAGUAUAAGCACUCGGUUUCAGACUUGGGUCUAGCUUUGGGCUUCUUCAUGGGAGUGGUAACUUGCUUUCCAUUCUUCUUGAAGUUCCCUUUCUUUCCCUUGCCCUUUUACUUGAAACUAGUGGUCUUGUCAACCAUCAACACUUGAUGCUUUUCUUGAUUUCUACCUUCGCCGAUUUCAGCAUCGCGAAGUGCUCGGGGAAUCAUUUUCGUCAUCCCUUACAUAUUAUAGUUCAUCACGAAGUUCUAGUAACUUGGUGAUAGUGACUAGAGAACUCUGUCAACCACUAUCUUAUCUGGAAGAUUAACUCCCACUUGAUUCAAGUGAUUGUAGUACUCAGACAUUCUAAGCACAUGCUCACUGGUUGAGCUAUUCUUCUCCAUCUUGUAGGCAAAAUACUUGUCAGAGGUCUCAUACCUCUCGACUCGGGCAUGAGUCUGAAAUACCAAUUUUAGUUCUUGGAACAUCUCAUAUGAUCCAUGGCAUUCAAAACAUUUUUUAAGUCCCGGUUCUAAGCCGUAAAGCAUGGUGCACUAAACUAUCAAGUAGUCAUCAUACCGAGCUUUGCAAAACAUUCAUAACGUCUACAUCUGCUCCUGCAACAGGUUUAUCACCUAGUGGUGCAUCAAGGACAUAAUACUUCUGUGCAGCAAUGAGGAUAAUCUUCGGAUCACAGACCUAGUCCGCAUCAUUGCUACUAUCAUCUUUCAACUUAGUUUUCUCUAGGAACAUAUCAAAAAUAAAAUAGGGGAGCUAUACACGAGCUAUUGAUCUACAACAACAUAGACAUGCAAAAAACUAUCAGGACUAAGUUCAUGAUAAAUUAAAGUUCAAUUAAUCAUAUUACUUAAGAACUCCCACUUAGAUAGACAUCCCUCUAAUCAUCUAAGUGAUCACAUGAUCCAUAUCAACUAAACCAUGUCCGAUCAUCACGUGAGAUGGAGUAGUUUUCAAUGGUGAACAUCACUAUGUUGAUCAUAUCUACUAUAUGAUUCACGCUCGACCUUUCGGUCUCAGUGUUCCGAGGCCAUAUCUGCAUAUGCUAGGCUCGUCAAGUUUAACCCGAGUAUUAUGCGUGUGCAAAACUGGCUUGCACCCGUUUUAUGUGAACGUAGAGCUUAUCACACCCGAUCAUCACGUGGUGUUUCAGCACGAAGAACUGUCGCAGCGGUGCAUACUCAAGGAGAACACUUAUACCUUGAAAUUUUAGUAAGGGAUCAUCUCAUAAUGCUACCGUCGUACUAAGCAAAAUAAGAUGCAUAAAAGAUAAACAUCAUAUGCAAUCAAAAUAUGUCACAUGAUAUGGCCCUCAUCAUCUUGUGCCUUUGAUCUCCAUCUCCAAAGUAUUGUCAUGAUCUCCAUUGUCACCGGCAUGACACCAUGAUCUCGAUCAUCUUGAUCUUUAUCAACGUGUCAUCACAUGGUCGUCUCGCCAACUAUUGCUUUUGCAACUAUUGCUAUCUCAUAGCGAUAAAGUAAAGCAAUUAUGUGGCGCUUGCAUCUUAUGCAGUAAACAGACAACCAUAAGGCUCCUACCAGUUGCCGAUAACGUUAACAAAACAUGAUCAUCUCACACAACAAUUUAUAUCUCAUCACGUCUUGACCAUAUCACAUCACAGCAAGCCCUGCAAAAACAAGUUAGACGUCCUCUACUUUGUUGUUGCAAGUUUUACGUGGCUGCUACGGGCUUCUAGAAAGAACCGUUCUUACCUACGCAUCAAAACCACAAUGAUUUUUCGUCAAGUGUGCUGUUUUAACCUUCAACAAGGACCGGGCGUAGUCAAACUCGAUUCAACUAAAUUUGGAGAAACAGACACCCACUAGCCACCUGUGUGCGAAGCACGGCGCUAGAACCAGUCUCAUGAACGCGGUCAUGUAAUGUCGGUCUGGGCCGCUUCAUCCAACAAUACUGCCGAAUCAAAGUAUGACAUGGUGGUAAGCAGUAUGACAAUUAUCGCCCACAACUCUUUGUGUUCUACUCAUGCAUAUAACAUCUACGCAUAGACCUGGCUCGGAUGCCACUGUUGGGGAACGUAGUAUUUCAAAAAAAUUGCCUACAAUCAUGCAAAAUCUAUCUAGGAGAAGCAUAGCAACGAGCGGGGAGAGUGUGUCCACGUACCCUCGUAGACCGAAAGCGGAAGCGUUUAGUAACACGGUUGAUGUAGUCGAACGUCUUCGCGAUCCAACCGAUCCAAGUACCGAAUGUACGGCACCUUUGCGUUCAGCACACGUUCAGCUCGAUGACGUCCCUCGAUCUCUCGAUCCAGUUGAGGACGAGGGAGAGUUCCAUCAGCAUGACGGUGUGGAGAUGGUGAUGAUGAAGUUACCGGCACAGGGCUUCGCCUAAGCACUACGACGAUAUGACCGAGGUGUGUAACUGUGGAGGGGGGCACCGCACACGGCUAAGACAAUUGUCUAUUGUGUCUUUGGGGUGCCCCCCUGCCCCCGUAUAUAUAGGAGGGGAGGAGGAGGCCGGCCAACAAGGGGCACGCCAGGGAGAGGGGAAUCCUACUAGGACUCCAGUCCUAGUAUGAUUUGGCCCCACCCUUUUUUCCUUCUACCGGAGGGGGAAAAGGGGAAGGAGAGGGAGUAGGAGAAGGAAAGGGAGUGGCGCCCCCUUCCCAAGUCCAAUUCGGCCUCCUCCCUUGUGGGGGGCGAACCAGCCCCUUGUGGGCUGGUUAGCCUCCCUCCUAUGGCCCAUAAGGCCCAUAUCUUUCCCCGGGGGGUUCCGGUAACCCCUCCGGUACUCCGGUAUGUACCCGAUACACUCGGAACCCUUCCGGUGUCCGAAUACUGCCUUCCAAUAUAUCAAUCCUUACCUCUCGACCAUUUCGAGACUCCUCGUCAUGUGCGUGAUCUCAUCUGGGACUCCGAACAAACUUCGGUCAUCAAAUCACAUAACUCAUAAUACAAAUCGUCAUCGAACGUUAAGCGUGCGGACCCUACGGGUUCGAGAACUAUGUAGACAUGACUGAGACACAUCUCCGGUCAAUAACCAAUAGCGUAACCUGGAUGCUCAUAUUGGCUCCUACAUAUUCUACGAAGAUCUUUAUCGGUCAAACCGCAUAACAACAUACGUUGUUCCCUUUGUCAUCGGUAUGUUACUUGCCCGAGAUUCGAUCGUCGGUAUCAUCAUACCUAGUUCAAUCACGUUACCAGCAAGUCUCUUUACUUGUUCCGUAAUGCAUCAUCCCGCAACUAACUCAUUAGUCACAUUGCUUGCAAGGCUUAUAGUGAUGAGCAUUACCGAGAGGGACCAGAGAUACCUCUUCGAUACACGGAGUGACAAAUCCUAAUCUCAAUCUAUGCCGACCCAACAAACACCAUCGGAGACACAUGUGGAGCAUCUUUAUAAUCACCCAGUUAUGUUGUGACGUUUGAUAGCACACUAAGUGUUCCUCCGGUAUUCGGGAGUUGCAUAAUCUCAUAGUCAGAGGAACAUGUAUAAGUCAUGAUGAAAGCAAUAGCAAUAAAACUAAACGAUCAUUAUGCUAAGCUAAUGGAUGGGUCUUGUCCAUCACAUCAUUCUCUAAUGAUGUGAUCCCGUUCAUCAAAUGACAACACAUGUCUAUGGCUAGGAAACUUAACCAUCUUUGAUUAACGAGCUAGUCAAGUAGAGGCAUACUAGGGACACUCUGUUUGUCUAUGUAUUCUCACAUGUACUAAGUUUCCGGUUAAUACAAUUCUAGCAUGAAUAAUAAACAUUUAUCAUGAUAUAAGGAAAUAUAAAUAACAACUUUAUUAUUGCCUCUAGGGCAUAUUUCUUUCAGAGACAACCUCCACGCCAUCAAAUAUUUGCCAUUAAAGCUCAAAGGACCAGCCCGACAUUGGUUAAACAGCCUCCCCGAAGACUCCAUGGGGAGAUGGGAAGAGCUCAAGGAUGCUUUCGGAGCUAACUUUCAAGGUACCUACGUCCGGCCUCCGGAUGCCGACGACCUGAAUCAUGUGGUCCAGCAGCCCGACGAGUCAUCCGGGAGUUUUAGAACAGGUUUCUAACCAAAAAGAGUCAAAUAGUCAACUGCCCGGACACUGAAGUUAUAGCCGCGUUCAAGCAUAGUAUCCGGGACGAAUGCUCGCACUCCAGCUCGCCCAAGACAAACCAAGGUCAAUGGCAGCCCUUAACUCCCUUAUGACCCACCUUUGCGCGGGUGAAGAUAGUUGGUUGGCUCGUAGAAGCACCAACCAGAAGGCACCGACACUUCUGAAGUCCGGGAUGGCAACGAGAAACCGCCACAAUAAAAAUAAGCGUCGACACAACGGCGCCGAGGCCGAUGACAUGGCAGUAAAUGCUGGAUUCCAUAAUCCCAAGGCUGGGCCGCGAAAGAAGCCCUCUAAAGGAAACCAGGAUGGACCCACCAAGUUGGAUGUUAUCCUGGAUAGGCCAUGCCAGAUACAUGGCACCACAGACAAGCCUGCCAACCACACCAACCGCAACUGUUGGGUGAUUAAACAAGACAGCAAGCUCACAGCCGAAGACAUGGGCAAAAGCCCCCGCAGCAAGGAUGAUGAGGAACCUCGCAAGCCGAACAAUGGAGGCCAGAAACAACUCCCUCCGGAGGUUAAAAUAGUGAACAUGAUUUAUGCCACUCAUAUACCCAAGAAGGAGCGAAAGGGCGCACUUCGGGACGUCUACGCCAUAGAGCCUGUAGCCCCAAAAUUCAACCCAUGGUCAGCAUGUCCGAUCACCUUUGAUCGCAAGGACCACCCGACCAGUAUCUGUCAUGGAGGAUCAGCGGCACUGGUCCUAGAUCCCAUUAUCGAUGGAUACCACCUUACCAGAGUCCUCUUGGAUGGGGGUAGGAGCCUUAACCUGAUCUAUGAAGAUACAGUCCGGAAAAUGGGUAUUGACCCGUCAAGGAUCAAACCCAGUAACACCACCUUUAAGUGGGUCAUCCCCGGCAUUGAAGCCUGCCGUUCGGGCACCCUCACUCUGGAAGUAGUAUUCGGCUCUCCAGACAAUUUCUGGAGUGAAGAUUUGAUCUUCGACAUCGCCCCCUUCCGCAACGGCUAUCACGCCCUCAUAGGCCGGACGGCGUUCGCUCGUUUUAACGCCGUCCCCCACUAUGCCUACCUCAAAAUAAAGAUGCCCAGUCCAAGAGGCUUCAUCACAUUCAACGGUAACAAGGAGCGCUCUCUUCAGACAGAGGAACAUACCGCAGCCUUGACGGCCGAAUACGAAGGACCGAAGUGUCAGGCCACCGUCAAGGUGCGAGAGGCGAACAAGCGGGCAUUGGCCCUAUCUCCCACCAAGGGGCUUCCCUGUGGUUCGGCAUACAUAGAAAUACGCCCCCCAUGGCCUGCCCAACCCAGCAGCACACUAUGUGCCUUGAUAUCACAAUUUCACGCUCAAAAUACCAUGGGCAGCUAUGGGGCUUAAUCACCAAGAGUUCAGUUCGACCGUACCAUGGCACAAUGCGUGUUCGGACGACAAACAUGUACCAUCUAGGACCUAUGCGGCAUCAAGCCCCACCAACACAGCAACCUCUCAAGGACUCCCUGUCAAGGACCCGUCAUCGGACAACCAUCCAACAAUGUUGUCUCUCUUAGUAGAAACAAAGGUGCAGACGUGCAGUAGGGCACAGUUCGAGUGUUAACCCACAUAUCAAGACCCUGCGUAAACCUUUCAUCUAUAAAUUAAUCUUUUUCCUUUUUUUGAAGUCUUGAUUCGACAGUUCGAAGUGUAUGGCUAGAUGUCAUGAGCUUAUUGGAAAUAAAGCAAACCAUUUAUGGUUCCUCUAUAGUCGCUUAUGUUGUAUUUUUCCCCAGUUCUUACUUUUCGCUCUUCGAAUCUGCCUCAAUCAAGCAUUAUACACUUCGGGUUCCAUUUAUACGCGGGUUAUUGGACCGAGGGCUUGGCCUAGAUGUCGCCCUAUACAUUAAAGACCGACACCUUUUUCUUUUCACUGUGUUUGGUGUCUUGGAUAUUGCAUUAUAUGCACCGGCUCCGAAUUAUGUCUUGGGUCAAUAGUUGGGUUACCCUGCUCCUGUGCUUACCUUUUUAUGUUCUGCAUGUUCGUCUAAGAAUGUAAAGGGAGAACCACUGUGAUUGUACUUCCGCCUAGUUUGGUUAAGUACCUUAGUGAAGAAAGCCGAAAAUUGACUGUCAUAAUAGGCGAGAACUGGUCGACAAUCCGAUGACUGGUCUUCGAACCAAAAAUUGUUAGAGAUUGUACUGUGUACUAUGAAGGAUUAGUAUUUGAACAAAUCAAGUGAGUGAUGUUCGUCCCUAAGGUCCGCCCAACACCUCAACACACCGGGGGCUGGUCACCAGCCCCCACUGUCAAGUUCUUAUGGCUAAGUGAAGGUAAUAAAACCGCAUAGUCCGAUUGCCUUGUUCCCCUCCUACACUACCGCCUCUAGGCACUGAGACGUCGGCUAAGGGUUAUAGUGUGGAGGAUGGAACACCCCUCAUAGCAUCUACGUGGGGGCUGAAGCCGACGACUAGUAACUUUCAGGAUAAAAACGGCUGCACAAGAGUCAAAAUUAAACAUAAAAUACACACAAGUAUGAUAAACCAUACAAAAUACCAUUAGCUCAUAAAAGCAUAAGGUUUCAUCGCAAGUUCAUAUAUCAACAACGUAACUACUCAAGGAGUACAUCCUUGCAACACUACACCUCCACGGCCCGAGCACCGUCCAUCACGGCUGCGAAGUACUGCUCUGGGCGCCUAUGCUCCUUCCUAGCUGGCGGACGACCGGUGGCCAUCUCGACGGGCUCGAUCUUAGGCCAAUGCACCAUUAUCUUUGCAAACGCCAUCUGAGCCCCCUCGAUGCACAUCAAACGCUUGAUGGCAUCAAUCCGGGAAGACGCGUCACACAACUUCGCCACUAGACUGAAGUAGCUACUCGGCACGGGCUCGGAGGACCAUAGCCAGACAUAGAGGUCCUUCAUGGCCGGUUCCGCCAUUUGGUACAUCUCCAUCAACUGCUUCAUUUGAUUCAUAAGGAGGAGAGGAUGUUUGGGCACCUGGAAUUGCACCCAGAAUGUCCAUAGCUCAACGUCACCCUCCCGGGCAGCAUAAUGCCUUGUGGCAUCGGCCACACUCUUCGGGAGAUCCGCUAUGGCGCCUGCUGAAUGCCAGACCCGGGUUAGCAACUUGAAUCUUUGACCACCAAAUACACUGUACAGUAAGUAUUGCUUAACAUUGGCAAUUUGCUUCACUUGCUGGAGCUCCUCCCGGGCGCUCCGUGUCUCCGACCACGCCUCUUGAAUCUUUGUCUUCAUGUUUGCCAGCGCAGUGGCGUGCUACUUGUUCUUUUGUUCAAGGUCCUCACAUUUUCUGACGGCAUCCUUGAGCUCUUGUUGCACUUCGUCCACCCUGGCCUCAUGCUUCUCGCGUUCGGUUUUCACCAACGUGAGAUCGGCAGCCUCCUGUUCGGCCGCCACCUUCUGUUCGGCCGCUUCCUUUCUGGUCUGCAGCAGUUCGGCCUUGAGGCUUUUGACCUUCGCGACGGCAGCUGCAAAACAGUCUCUUGCUUAGGUGUAAGGGCAUAUUUAUCCCUUAGUUGUUUUGGUGAUUGAUGACAAUGCUUUUGCGGACUAAUCGUGUGCAUUCAGCAUUUCAGACAUAUCAUGACUAGGCACAAGACGAUUUGGUGCCCCUCGAAGACUAUUGAAGAUGGCGUUUCUCUACGUUUAUUUUCGAUGGAUUUGAGUCGUAGGAAAGCCGUACUAUUAAGAGGGGGUCUGCGUUGGAAAGGUUUGGGUGGAAUCAACACGUACACGUCUGUUUCUUUUUUGCACCACCUUUCCUUUGGCUCUUUGGGGCAUCCUCCGUUUCUCCGUGUCUCUGCAAAAUGAAGGACUCCUAGUGUUGCUAAACUAGGGCAUGCGGUAGUACUGCUCUUCGGAGCGGUAGUACCGCAGGCCCUUGCGGUAGUACCUGUCAGGACCCCGAUUCUAAGUCACACCGAUCUAGCCUAUAACACCUCAUAUCACUUUGCGGCCUCACGCACGGUAUUCCCACGGGUGUCGCCUUACCAUGGCCCGGACCAUUUGCACCUUUUGGCUCACAUAUAUGAUAGUGUCGCUAGCAUCCAUAUGACAGAGAACCCGGGCCGACAUGGCAAGUCGUGAACCCAAAGUGGCACUAACUUACGGGAACAGGCAUACAUGAAUCAACAUCGAGCAUGUCGGUCAGCAGCGUGCGAAUCCGGGCUGUAGCACUGGGCUAAAAGGACUCCGGGAACCUGGGUUGUAGCAGGCUAGGCAGGACUCCGGAUGUCACCGCGUGACAUUUCCCCGAAGGGACAGACACAGGAACGAAGUGAAACACAUGCCGGCCAGUCAAGUGUUCCGGAGCAGUAGUGCUGGGCUAGCAGGACUCCGGUGAACCGGGCUGUAGCAGACUACUAUGGCUCAUGGAAGCACAAGACUACAUUUCCCCAUAAGAGAGGCUACCAAGGAUAAACAACUAGGUUGUCAGAUCCCACACAUACCAAGCAUUUCAAUCAUACACACAAUAUGCUCGAUAUGUGUAAAUACAACAUGGCAUCACAACAUAACUCUACGACUCAAGUACUUAUUCAUUAGUCUCCGAGGAGCAAGAUAAUACAAACAUAGGUCUCAUGACCCAACAUUCAGAGCAUACAAGUCAAACACAUGCGGAAGCUUAACAGGUCUGAGUACAGACAUCUACAAAUGAAAAAGGCUGAGAAGCCUGACUAUUUACUAGAUCCUGCCGAGGGCACAAGAUCGUAGCUGAGGUAUCAAGCUAAACGUCGAAGUCCACACGAAACUACUAGCGAGACUGACGUCUCUCUGCAAAACAUAAAAUAAGCAAACGUGAGUACAAAUGUACCCAGCAAGACUUACAUCAGAACUAUCUACCUAUGCAUCGGUAUCAACAAAGAGGCUGAUGGAGUUUAACUGCAGCAAGCCAGCUUUGACUCGGUGGCUAUCCUAACUACGACUGCAAGUAACUCUUUUGAGGUGGCGCACACAAGUCCACAUAUUCACCAUACCAAUACUCCACUAUGGAUCCGCUCCUGUUUCCCUACGAGAGCGCCAUCCAUAGCACUCACGCUUAUCUUGCGCAUUUUAGAGUAUCCACUUUCACUUGUCUAUGAACUGUUAUAGGCAACCCAUAAGUCCUUUACCACGGACACGGCUAUUCGAAUAGAUCAUAUUAACCCUGCAGGGGUGUACUUCGUCACACACGCUCUCACCACUUACCGCCGUUUACACGACAUGUACUCGGCAACCUUCAAGCGGAAGCCCAGCGAGGGUGUCGGCCACGGCCUACCUAAACACUCAAGUCUCUAGCCCAGGUUUAUCGCCUAUUCAGGUUCCAUCCGCAGGGAGUCCGGCCGAGGUUUCCACAUACGGCCCCGAACGAUGUGUACAGGGUUCCGAGACACCAAACGGGCGCCUGGCAUGCCCGGCCACGUGCCUACCGCAUCACAGCCCACCCCUCGGGUCAACGCUGCGCAUGGCCUCCAGCAUACUACAAACACCAGAAACUACUUGCAACUCCUGGACAGAGGACAAGGGUGAUUAAGAAGCCGAGAGGGUCCAUUGGUUUCGGGCCCAAUGCGUGGUAGUAACUGUUUCAUGGAUCACAAACACAGAACUCAGUUCAUGAGGACGGCUGCAAUGAGACAACCCACCAUGUACUCCUACAUGGCCUCUCAUCGCUACCUUUACCAAAUCGUGUUCACACACUUAGCUCACACACAGUAGGACAUGUUCAUCACCAUUCCAACUCAUCCCCGAUGAAUCAGACCCGACUCAACUCUAAGCAGUAGCAGGCAUGACAAACAAGCAUGAAUGAGUAGGCACAUCAGGGCUCAAACAACUCCUACUCAUGCUAGUGGGUUUCAUCUAUUUACUGUGGCAAUGACAGGUCAUGCAGAGGAUAAGGGGUUUAACUACCGCAGCAAGUAACAGAUGAAUCAUUGUUGUCCUAAUGCAGUAAAAGAGAGCAGGAGCGAGAGAGUGGGAUUGUAUCGGAAUGAACAAGGGGGUUUGCUUGCCUGGCACUUCUGAAGAUAUUAUAGUUCUUCAUCGGUGUCAUGGAACUCAUCGUCGGAAUCACGGCUAUCGAGAGGGCACAAUUACCGGCAACAGAGAGGAAACACAAUCAAUGCAAUGCAACAAUAUGAUGCAUGGUCGUGACAUGUCAAGAAUGUUAUGAUUUACAUUAAUGCAUCUAACAACAGUUUAAAUGAAGUCCAUAUGAACUAAGGGUUCAUAUGCAAACUCCACAUUUAGCAUUUAAAAUGUCAUUAUCAUGUUUUCACCUAUACAGCAGGUAUAACUUAGUUUGACAUGCAUGAAAAUGAUACAGAUGGAUAGAUUGCAUUUUUCUGAUAAUUUUUCAUAUAUAAUUUAUUUCAUUUGGAGUUAUGGUUGAAUUUCUAUGAAUUUUAGAAGUUUUGGGUAUUUUCUGGAAUUUCCUGUAUAAAAAUAAUUCUAGUAAGUAAAUUAAUGCGUCAGCAUUGUAUCAGGGUGACGUCAGCUGGUCAGCGGGGUCGUCGAGGUCAAACCUGACGUGUGGGGUCCACACGUCAGUGUCCCUGUUAGUAAACUAACUAAUUUAGAAUUAAUUAAAAGUUAAUCCAGGUUAAUUAGCAGGCGGGCCCCACUUGUCAUUGACUCAGGGGAGGGGGUCAGCCUGGGUCAAACGGGGUCAACUCGCCGGCGUUUAGCCGCCGGCGAAGCCAGACGCGGCGGCGAGCCACGGGUUUGCCCUACGGGGCGCCGUUUGGCGCGCGGAGCACAGCUACGGGAUGCGGACGCUCGUCCGCAUCCAACCGUGGGGGUGGUGCGGCCGGGGAGUGGCCGGAGUGGCGCCGGCGACGAGCUCGGCGGCGGCACGUGCGGGUGAGCUACAUGCAGUUGCUACGGAGCUCGAGAGCGAGAACGAGAAGGGGGAGAAGGUAGCGGAGCUCACUGCGGUCACGUAGAAGCAAACGGCACGGUCGGGGACGGGCUGAUGACGUCGGAGCAGAGGCGGCGAAGUCGAGGGUGCAGGGGGCGAUGCAGGCCGUUCGGCGUUGCCUGACUCGGCUGAGAGGACGAGGGCGUCGAGACGGAGCUGCUGGACAGCACGGGAAGGCGAGGGGAGCACGGUGGCUGCGAGGUUCACACCGGCGCGAGCUCGGCAGCGUCGGCCAUGGCGGAGGCGAGGCGAGGGAGAGGUGCAGGGGGCGAAUGAGGUGUCGGGGCGGUCGAGCGGGCGACGUGGGCGUCGUCCAGAUCCUCUAGAGGCGCGGGGCGGCAAGCAGGUGACGCCGUGGCGCGCGCGGCGGCGUCGCGGUGUCCCUCCUCUGCCUACUGGCAGAGGUGGGGGAUGACUGGCACGGCCGGGUGGGCUGGGCCUCUGCUGGGCCGCGGGUGGGCGCCAGGUAAAUGGCCUCUGGCCUUUCUCUCUCUCUCUCUCUCUUUUUCUAAUUUUUAAUUGUUUUUCUAUUUUUCUGUAAGUUUGUUGCAUUAUUAAAAAUACUUAGGCAUCUCCUAAAAUCACCAAAAUGCACAUGGCCACUGUUUAGAAUUUAUAUGGCAUGGAACAUUUUAGUUUGGAAUUAUUUGAGCACUUGAAAUAUUUUAUAUUAUUUAAAUGCCCAAAAUCAAAUUGCUAAUGGAUUAAUCCAGUGACCUUAAGAUGUCCUAGAAAUUUGUGCAUCACUUUUGGCAGUGGUUUAAGACCAAGGCAGAGAUGAUGAACAUUUUAGAAGGGCAUUUCAGGUUCAUUGAAAUUAUUUUUAGUAAACCCUAGUUGUUAACAGGGGGUGCUGGGGUUUCUGUCUUCCCCAUUUCAAGUUUCUGGAAAAAAAGAAACAUGAUGCAACACUCUAAUGCAUGAACUAGCUAGGAUGUGACAACUCACCCCCAAUAAACAAGAAUCUCGUCCCGAGAUUCAAGAUGUGAGGUAAGAAGACAGAGGGGACACAAACUAAUACAAUCUUCAUGAUCCAAUUGCUCUUCUCGAAGAUGUUGAUUCAUUGCAUCACCUUGAUCUCGACGUCUUGCUUUGAGAACUACAUCCAACAUAACAACGAAUAGAGAGAGAGAAUUUUAGAAGGAUCGAUCUUUCUGAGAUUCGAGCAACUUAGGAUCAUCUUUAUGAUCACAAGAUCAAUUCACGGAAUGAGAAAAAGAAACAUCUCUGGAGCUGAGAGCCAAAACAUGCAUCAGGAGGGGCGGAAGAAACAAUUUGACGAGGGUUUCAAAGCAGCAAGGAAAAUUGCCAUGAUUCCAUAAUGGGGCACCUUGGGAAAGGUGACUCGUAGAAUUAUUCCCUCAAGUGGCAAAAAGAAUUACUUUUGAUAUAAAUAUCAUUGAAACUCUUUAUGCCAGCCUAAGGCAAUCACAAACGAUCGUUCGAGGGAGUUCGGGAGAACGACACACUCGGGCUAGAAUGGACGAUGUGGACUACCUUGUUGAAGACAACGAAAUGGAUGAUUUUUGCUUAUCAUCGGAAAUGAAUGGGACUCAUGGUAAGUCCACCUUUGAAGAUGGACCUGGACAGCAACUGCUGAGAAGGGCAGCCCAUGGAAAAUUGGCACGAUGGGGUGCAAGCUGGGAACAAAAUGCAACCGUUGGGAAUGUUCCAACCAUCAUAUCUGCCUGAGAUUCAGAUCCGAUCGGUGAUAGGAUACUUCAGACUCAGCAUGUCUGAAAAGAAAGUUUGCAACACAAUUCGACGAGAUGGCGUUGCGAGAUUCUCGAGGAAUGAACUAAGAUAGCAAGCUCCAAAACAUGAGAUGGUUCUUCUAAACACAUGUGAACACGCUGUCCCACACAAGCAUGACCACAUAGUAGUCUUAUGAUAAAACACUAUCGAGUUCAGGUGGGGAACCAUCAUCUAGGGUAACGAAGUCUUGUGCAUGACCUAGGAUUUGCAGAACAACUCCUUUUCCUUGAACAAAUCAAUCAGUGGCUUGGUGUGCUAGGAACACAUAUAGAAUGGAGGUUGCAAGUCUCCGAACCACAGAAUACUUCGCACGUAUGCAUGACCGAUUUUGGGAUGAUUCCAAAAGAAGCAACAUUGACUUUCUCAAAUCCACGACGGCAACUUGCAUCAGAUGCACGUGAAUUAGAGGAAGUCACUACAUUCAUCCAAACAUAUGCUUCAUGAACGGAACAUGAAGGCAUUGUUUACAAAGUUUCCAACACUAGCUUAAUGUUUAACACGAAUCAUGGGGAAAACAAGAUGCUGUUGAUGGGCUCAACAGCAACUCAUCGGAAUUUCCAUAGCACUGGACUUCCACCAUCGUGUGAACACGAUGAUAGCAUUGGUCAGACCUAAAAGAUAUAAUGGUGUAUGCUCGAGGGAUCAACCACGAGUAAGACAACAUUACGAACAUCGUUGGUUCUGAUUUGACUUGACGAUAGCCCAUACUCAAAUCAAAGAUUGGUAAGAUAAUAGAUCCAACAACUGAUCAUGAGGGUCAAUCAAUGAAGAUAUCAUCUUUCUUUAACGCACACACACACCAAGAUAUCCCUUAAUGAUGAACUAAGUCAGACAAAGCUUUUAUCUUCCAACUCUCCAAGUUGUUGUUUAGCUCAACCAACUAGCUCAGGGGUAUCCAACACAGAUUCUUGGAGAAGGGGUGGUUUAUAGGAAACCAACUUGAUCACGAGCUCAACAUAACGGUCAGGGAGCAACCUGGUGAUACUUCCGAGAAGAUAUUCAGGAAAUCACGAACCACCGAUAUGUUACUAGGCUCGAGAACAAUCUCGCCUUUCAGAGCAAGACGAUAUGAUCAAAUAAGCAAGGGAUUGAAUAAUCCUAACUCAUUGAUCGAAGAGUGCACCGGAAAUAAGGACUAGGUAGCACGAUCAACCUUAGGAUGUGAUUCAGUAACCAACACGCUAAGGAUGAAAUUAUUGUCCUUUAACUACCAAGCAACGGAGUUGCUAGGAGUAUUGAUUUCACACAUCAUAGUUCACUUGUCGGCAUUCCGGUUGCAACAACACGGGGCCAAGAAAUGAGUGAUGAUGGCGAGGAGUAUCACUGCGUCAAGAAUUCAUAAGAGGUGGUGCAAUUCCUACGAUAUUCUCGACAUAAAGGGGGUAAUACUCGAAGGUAGAACAGAACAAAAACUGGUUUGGCAUUUUGAUCUGUGGAAUACAACUACUUUGACCCAAUCCCAGAGAUGGACGAGGUACUGGAGUUUGUUUCUCCUAGUCAUUCCGGAUUAGAAUGGCUUGACAGACCACAAGAAUAAUAGGCAUCGAUAACACAAAUGCACAAUUACUCCUGACUAUCAAUUGAUAGACGAGGGCCAGAAAAUAACUAAAGAGGGACAACCCAAAGGAACAUAUGUUUUUCUGAGUUGUGGAUGCAUGGAUUAGUAUGUCGAACAAAUUCAACAUAUUUCUUCCAGAUAACCCAUGCAGAGGAGGAAGGACUGGCAGAGUCACAAUAUGAAUGGAGUACUCCUCAAGAGCGCCCUGGUUGUGAUCUUUUGGUUAAAAGAACUUCUGCCAUAAUGGUUCAUGGUAUUUGGAAGAAGGAAAUACCACGGACCUCAAGGACUGUCGCAAGGUUACUAAUAUCCUAAAGGAACGAGCAAACACUAUCAACAGGAGGUAAGUGGAGUGAAUCUUGGGCUCAAGAACCCAGAAAUAGAAUGCCUACUAACUAAAUGGCAUCACGGGAUGCUUUCGAGAAUAAUGGCCAGAAUCAUCACACUGGGGAUGCAAGCAUUGCUAGAUUACUAAGUGGUCCUCUAAGACACCUAGGGUCAUAAUAAUAACUCCAACAUAUAUGUCAAGGAAACAGAGUACCUCAACUCAAUGAUUAGUGUGGUUAAUCUGGCCCAAAGGAACAACGAGAACGGAAAGAAGGGAUUUGCAAAUGCAUCAGAUUAUUUAGAAGCCUGGGAUGACUCGGACAGCAUAACGGCUGUAAAUGCUCAAAGGAUUUGAGACAUCCAGCAAAAAUGGUGGCAUAACCACUUAGAAGCACAAUAUCAAGGUUCCGAGACCAACUAUGAACACACGGAAGUAGAAGAAACUGAACUGGGGCUUAAAUCCAACAAUCCUACAAGUCUAUAGAUUAGUAACACGUGAUCCUGAUAGAAAGAUGAGAAGCCUAGUUCUUAAUCCCCGUAGAAGAGAAGAGGGUGACUCAGAUCAGAAGGGCAUAAGGUAAAGGAGUAAAAAGAGCCUUACAUUCCCUUCCGCAAUCAAUUCCCUUAUAUAACUACAGCAUUUCUAGACUCAACUUCGACCAGUUUUGCUUCGUAAACCUACAGGCAGUCAGGCUCUGAUACCAACGCUGUCAGGACCCCGAUUCUAAGUCAGACCAAUCUAGCCUGUAACACCUCAUAUCACUUUGCGGCCUCACGCACGGUAUUCCCACGGGUGUGGCCUUACCAUGGCCCGGGACCGUCUGCGCCUUUUGGCUCACGUAUAUGAUAGUGUCGCUAGCAUCCAUAUGACAGAGAACCCGGGCCGACAUGGCUAGUCGUGAACCCAAAGUGGCACUAACUUACGGGGAUAGGCAUACAUGAAUCAACAUCGAGCAUGUCGGUCAGCAGCGUGCGAAUCCGGGCUGUAGCACUGGGCUAACAGGACUCCGGGAACCCGGGCUGUAGCAGGCUAGGCAGGACUCCGGAUGUCACCGCGUGAAUUUCCCCGGCGGGACAGACACAGGAACGAAGUGAAUCACAUGCCGGCCAGUCAAGUGUUCCGGAGCAGUAGUGUUGGGCUAGCAGGACUCCGGUGAACCGGGCUGUAGCGGACUACUAUGGCUCAUGGAAGCACAAGACUACAUUUCCCCAUAAGAGAGGCUACCAAGGAUAAACAACUAGGUUGUCGGAUCCCACACAUACCAAGCAUUUCAAUCAUACACACAAUAUGCUCGAUAUGUGUAAAUACAACAUGGCAUCACAACAUAACUCUACGACUCAAGUACUUAUUCAUUAGGCUCCGAGGAGCGAGAUAAUACAAACAUAGGUCUCAUGACCCAACAUUCAGAGCAUACAAGUCAAACACAUGCGGAAGCUUAAUAUGUCUGAGUACAGACAUCUACAAAUGAAAAAGGCUGAGAAGCCUGACUAUUUACUAGAUCCUGCCGAGGGCACAAGAUCGUAGCUGAGGUAUCAAGCUAAACGUCGAAGUCCACACGGAACUACUAGCGAGACUGACGUCUCUCUGCAAAACAUAAAAUAAGCAAACGUGAGUACAAAUGUACCCAGCAAGACUUACAUCAGAACUAUCUACCUAUGCAUCGGUAUCAACAAAGGGGGUGAUGGAGUUUAACUGCAGCAAGCCAGCUUUGACUCGGUGGCUAUCCUAACUAUGACUGCAAGUAACUCUUUUGAGGUGGCGCACACGAGUCCACAUAUUCACCAUAUCAAUACUCCACUAUGGAUCCGCUCCUGUGUCCCUACGAGAACGCCAUCCAUAGCACUCACGCUUAUCUUGCGCAUUUUAGAGUAUCCACUUUCACUUGUCUAUGAACUGUUAUAGGCAACCCAGAAGUCCUUUACCGCGGACACGGCUAUUCGAAUAGAUCAUAUUAACCCUGCAGGGGUGUACUUCGUCACACACGCUCUCACCACUUACCGUCGUUUACACGACAUGUACUCGGCAACCUUCAAGCGGAAGCCCGGCGAGGGUGUCGGCCACGGCCUACCUAAACACUCAAGUCUCUAGUCCAGGUUUAUCGCCUAUUCAGGUUCCAUCCGCAUGGGAGUCCGGCCGAGGUUUCCACAUACGGCCCCGAACGAUGUGUACAGGGUUCCAAGACACCAAACGGGCGCCUGGCAUGCCCGGCCACGUGCCUACCGCAUCACAGCCCACCCCUCGGGUCAGCGCUGCGCACGGCCUCCAGCAUACUACAAACACCAGAAACUACUUGCAACUCCUGGACAGAGGACAAGGGUGAUUAAGAAGCCGAGAGGGUCCAUUGGUUUCGGGCCCAAUGCGUGGUAGUAACUGUUUCAUGGAUCACAAACACAGAACUCAGUUCAUGAGGACGGCUGCAAUGAGACAACCCACCAUGUACUCCUACAUGGCCUCUCAUCGCUACCUUUACCAAAUCGUGUUCACACACUUAGCUCACACACAGUAGGACAUGUUCAUCACCAUUCCAACUCAUCCCCGAUGAAUCAGACCCGACUCAACUCUAAGCAGUAGCAGGCAUGACAAACAAGCAUGAAUGAGUAGGCACAUCAGGGCUCAAACAACUCCUACUCAUGCUAGUGGGUUUCAUCUAUUUACUGUGGCAAUGACAGGUCAUGCAGAGGAUAAGGGGUUCAACUACCGCAGCAAGUAACAAAUGAAUCGUUGUUAUCCUAAUGUAGUAAAAGAGCGCAGGAGCGAGAGAGUGGGAUUGUAUCGGAAUGAACAAGGGGAUUUGCUUGCCUGGCACUUCUGAAGAUAUUAUAGUUCUUCAUCGGUGUCUCGAACUCAUCGUCGGAAUCACGGCUAUCGAGAGGGGACAAUUACCGGCAACAGAGAGGAAACUUAAUCAAUGCAAUGCAACAAUAUGAUGCAUGGUCGUGACAUGUCAAGAAUGUUAUGAUUUACAUUAAUGCAUCUAACAACAGUUUAAAUGAAGUCCAUAUGAACUAAGGGUUCAUAUGCAAACUCCACAUUUAGCAUUUAAAAUGUCAUUAUCAUGUUUUCACCUAUACAGCAGGUAUAACUUAGUUUGACAUGCAUGAAAAUGAUACAGAUGGAUAGAUUGCAUUUUUCUGAUAAUUUUUCAUAUAUAAUUUAUUUCAUUUGGAGUUAUGGUUGAAUUUCUAUGAAUUUUAGAAGUUUUGGGUAUUUUCUGGAAUUUCCUGUAUAAAAAUAAUUCCAGUAAUUAAAUUAAUGCGUCAGCAUUGCGUCAGGGUGACGUCAGCUGGUCAGCGGGGUCGUCCAGGUCAAACCUGACGUGUGGGGUCCACACAUCAGUGUCACUGUUAGUAAACUAACUAAUUUAGAAUUAAUUAAAUGUUAAUCCAGGUUAAUUAGCAGGCGGGCCCCACUUGUCAUUGACUCAGGGGAGGGGGUCAGCCUGGGUCAAACGGGGUCAACUCGCCGGCGUUUAGCCGCCGGCGAGGCCAGACGCGGCGGCGAGCCACGGGUUUGCCCUACGGGGCGCCGUUUGGCGCGCGGAGCACAGCUACGGGAUGCGGACGCUCGUCCGCAUCCAACCGUGGGGGUGGCGCGGCCGGGGAGUGGCCAGAGUGGCGCCGGCGACGAGCUCGGCGGCGGCGCGUGCGGGUGAGCUACGUGCAAUUGCUACGGAGCUCGAGAACGAGAACGAGAAGGGGGAGAAGGUAGCGGAGCUCACUGCGGUCACGUAGAAGCAAACGGCGCGGUCGGGGACGAGCUGACGACGUCGGGAGGUCACCGGCGAUCUCAGAGCAGAGGCGGCGAAGUCGAGGGUGCAGGGGCGAUGCAGGCCGUUCGGCGUUGCCUGACUCGAUUGAGAGGACGAGGGCGUCGAGACGAAGCUGCUGGACAGCACGGGAAGGCGAGGGGAGCACGGUGGCUGCGAGGUUCACGCCGGCGCGAGCUCGGCAGCGUCGGCCAUGGCGGAGGCGAGGCGAGGGAGAGGUGCAGGGGGCGAAUGAGGUGUCGGGGCGGUCGAGCGGGCGACGUGGGCGUCGUCCAGAUCCUCCAGAGGCGUGGGCGGCAAGCAGGUGACGCCGUGGCGCGCGCGGCGGCGUCGCGGUGUCCCUCCUCUGCCUACUGGCAGAGGUGGGGGAUGACUGGCACGGCCGGGUGGGCUGGGCCUCUGCUGGGCCGCGGGUGGGCGCCAGGUAAAUGGCCUCUGGCCUUUCUCUCUCUCUCUCUCUCUCUUUUUCUAAUUUUUAAUUGUUUUUCUAUUUUUCUGUAAGUUUGUUGCAUUAUUAAAAAUACUUAGGCAUCUCCUAAAAUCACCAAAAUGCACAUGGCCACUGUUUAGAAUUUAUAUGGCAUGGAACAUUUUAGUUUGGAAUUAUUUGAGCACUUGAAAUAUUUUAUAUUAUUUAAAUGCCCAAAAUCAAAUAGCUAAUGGAUUAAUCCAGUGACCUUAAGAUGUCCUAGAAAUUUGUGCAUCACUUUUGGCAGUGGUUUAAGACCAAGGCAGAGAUGAUGAACAUUUUAGAAGGGCAUUUCAGGUUCAUUGAAAUUAUUUUUAGUAAACCCUAGUUGUUAACAGGGGGUGCUGGGGUUUCUGUCUUCCCCAUUUCAAGUUUCUGGAAAAAAAGAAACAUGAUGCAACACUCUAAUGCAUGAACUAGCUAGGAUGUGAUAGUACCGGCCUCAGGUCCAGUAGUACCGCAGGUGCUCACGGUUGUACCGCUCCUUGGGAGCGGUAGUACCGUGGCCUCAGGCCAGGCUUAGCUGCUCGAGCAGUUGUAGGGGUGGAUGUAAUUUUUUACAUCCGCGCCCUACAUGGUAGUACCGCGCCAUGGGCGCGGUAGUACCGUGAGCUCUGGCCAGGCGCAGCAGCAUGAGCGGAAGUAGGGGUGGAUGUAAUUUUUUACAUCCGCGCCCUAGGCGGUAGUACCGCUCCAGGCUUGUGGUAGUACCGUGUCGGAUUUUUGCAUGGAUCGGAACUUAGCGGAAGUAGUCAUGGAUGUAUUUUUAUAUGUCUGUGCCUUCCCAGUCUAGACCAACCCUUCCUUGCGGUAGUACCGCAAGGGGGAGCGGUAGUACCGCACCAGCGAUUCUACCGCCCUCGACUUGUUUGCCACAGGUCUGGGUUAGCUCCUGUUGCACCAGCGGUAGUACCGCAGGGCCUUGUGGUAGUACUGUGGGCUCGUGCGGUAGUACCGCUCAUCGCGGGCUGAGUUAGUGGAUAACGGUUGGGUUUGUUCUAUCACUAUAAAAGGGGAGUCUUCUUCUCCGAGUUGACUACCUCUUCUAUCCCCAAGCUCCAUUGUUGCUCUAAGCUCCAUUCUCGCCCAAUCUCUAUCCCUAGCCAAUCAAACUUGUUGAUUCUCUAGGGAUUGGUUGAGAAGGCUCCGAUCUACACUUCCACCAAGAGAAAUUUGAUUCCCCCCACUAAUCCCUUGCUGAUCUUGUUACUCUUGGGUGUUUGAGCACCCUAGACGGUUGAGGUCACCGUGGAGCCAUAUUCCAUUGUGGUGAAGCUUCGUGGUGUCGUUGGGAGCCUCCAAUUAAGUUUUGGAGAUUGCCCCAACCUUGUUUGUAAAGGUUCGGUCGCCGCCUCCAAGGGCACCAAUAGUGGAAUCACGGCAUCUCGCAUUGUGUGAGGGCGUGAGGAGAAUACGGUGGCCUAGUGGCUUCUUGGGGAGCAUUGUGACUCCACACCGCUCCAACGGAGACGUACUUCCCCUCAAAAGGAAGGAACUUCGGUAACACAUCCUCGUCUUCACCGGCUCCACUCUUGGUUAUCUCGUACCUUUACUUGUGCAAGCUUAUAUUGUGUUGUAUCCUUUGCUUGCUUGUGUGCUUGGUGUUGUUGCAUCAUAUAGGUUUCUCACCUAGUUGCAUAUCUAGACAACCUACUUUGAUGCAAAGUUUAAAUUGGUACAGAAAAGCUAAAAAUUGUUAGUUGCCUAUUCACCCCCCCCCCUCUCUAGUCAACUAUAUCGAUCCUUUCAAUUGGUAUCAGAGCCUUGUCUCUUUAUUAAGGACUUUGCCGUCCGAAGAGUAUGGUUGACACCAUAGACGGUGGGGAGGAGCACUCCGGUGUGAAUCCGUUCUCGUCUACGGCCGAUGGGGCAACCACGGUCUCUCGUGAGGAGUUCAAUGUGGCUUUAGACACAUUGAAAAACUCCAUGACGGCCGAGGUCAAAGGAAUGUUUGAGAACUUUCUUGAUGGUCUCAAAUUAUCCACCGCACUGUUGGAAGUGGUCGAUCCCACUAACAAGGUGUCGGAUGCUAACUCCGACAAGGGGGGAGCUACUAGUGAGAAAGUUCCUUUGUCUAGUGGUAAUAAUGAUAGUGGCAUCUUUGCCCAUGUGGAACCACCUCCUACUUAUGGAGGACCUAUUCCCUCCACUCAUUUAAAUCAUGCCGGCCCUCCUCCUAAGAUUGUGAAAAAUGAGGAUUUUGAUGCUUGGGUAUAUCGCUUUAAACGUCAUUUAAACCAUGUUAAUACUAACUUUUGGAGAAUCAUUGAGCAAGGUUUCUAUCCGCAUGACCCAAGAAACUUCACCCCUAGAGAAGUCGCGGAUCAUCAAUUCAACGGGAAUGCUCUCUUCAUCAUCCAAGAUGCAAUUCCAUCCGAAGAUCUUGCACAUCUCCGACCUUUCACCAUGGCCAAGGAACCAUGGCACCAUGUUGUUUCCCUUUACAAGGGAAGCGCAAGCAUUCAACACUCCAACUAUGAAGUGGUGCAAGAUGAGGCCGAUGAGUUUGCAAUGAAUGAAGAUGAAGAACCUCGUGAGCUUUACCGGAGGUUAACCACUCUCGCGGUCUCACUCCGAGAUCAUGGAAGCAAGGAUACGGAUGACAAUUGGAUCAAGCGCAAGUUCCUAAAGGCCAUGAUGCCUUAUCACAAGGCCAUGUCCUCCGUCAUCCAUCAAAGAUCGGACUUCCACACCUUGUCCUCAAGUGAAGUCUUGGAUGAGUUUGUGGCAAUGAGGAUCUUGGACAAGACCGCCGACAAUGCGGUGUUGCGUUCUCAAAGAGCUAAGAAGCCCAACCUUGCUUUGAAGGCCAAGGUUGGUGCGGAAGAAGAGGAUGAAGAGGAAGAAGAAGAGGAGAGCAACCCCGAAGAUACAAAAUGUGCUUAUCAUGAGCACAUGGCUCUCGCUUCAAGGCAAUUUUGGAGCAAGAAGAACUCAAGGCCAAACUUCAACAAGAACAACUCAAGUGGCACGAAGAGAAAGCAACGAGUGAGGACUUGCUACAAUUGUGGCAAUGUGAGUCACUUUGUUGCGGAGUGUCCCUAUGAGAAGAGGGAAGACAAUGGUGGCAAGCUCAUCCGAUAAGACAAGGCCAAGUCCUUCCCCAACAAGAGCAACUUCACCAAGAAGACUCCUCCCAAGGGGUUAGUGGCACAAGAAGAGUAGAAUGAGGAUGAUUAUGAUGAUGAAGACGGUGAGUCGGUUGCCAUGGCCUCCGUUGCCAUUGCGACAACUCCACGGGUGUCUCUCUUCGAGUCACCCAAUGAGAACAUCACCGCCAAGUGCCUCAUGGCUAAAGCCACCAACAAGGUAACCCCCAACAUCAAAACUACCAUCAUUACUAAACCUUCCUUGACGGAUUGCAUUGAUGAAAUUGAGGGGUCUAAUGUGGAGGAAAAUGAAUUUGAGUCUUUUAUGAGUAAGCUCAAGGGUAAAUCCAAAAAGCACUUCGUUGCUCUCUUGGAACAACUUGGUGAAGCCAAUGACAUGAUCGAGGCUCACAAAGAUACCAUCUCUAAGAUGGAGGGGCAUAGUCGUGACUAUGCCGAUGAGAUCUCGGAUCUCUCCAAUGCUCUUGAGGAAGAGUGCGGUCAUCGUUUGGCUCUUGAGGAGUCAUACAACGAGGACCAUGCUAAAUUGAAGAAAGAUCUUAAUCAUGCUCUUGCUGUAUCUCGUGUGCUAAACUUCGAGAAAGCCAAGCUUGGGGUUGAUCUUGCUAGACUCAAAGAGGAGUUUGAUUUACUUGACAAGGCUCACAAGGUCUUGAAGGGUGGUCAUGCUAGCCUCAAAGAGUCUCAUGAUCAACUCCAAGUAAAGCUAACUAAGGAGAAAGCCACUUUCCUUCAUAUGGUCUUAAUUGAUAAUGCAAAUGCUACUAACCCGUGUUGUGAGCAUGUGCAUCUUGUUGAGGAGAAUGCUAAGUUGAAGAAGCAACUUGAGAAAGGCCUUGUGUCGUGCAUACAAGGUGAGAAGAACCUCAACGACCUUUUUGAGCAAUCAAAAGGAAGUUGUGGCCAAGGAAGGGAUUGGGUUCACACCCAAACCCAAGAACAAGAAGAAGAAUGACAAGGCCAAACGGCCCCCUCCUCUCAAGCAAACCUUUGUGAAAGAGGGAGAGUGCGCUCCUAAGGAGAAGAAGAACAAUGUGAAGGGUGGUGGUGUCAAGAAGGGCAAUGCCACCCCUUCCAACAAAGCCGGCGACUUUAACCCUUCCUAUGUGUUAUGCCGUGCUAGUGAUGGGCAUGUUUAUGCUAAAUUUGUUGGUUCUCCUUAUGAGUACAUUGAAUGGUCUAUUUGGGUUCCUAAGACCCUUGUCACUAACAUCAAAGGACCCAUUACAAAAUGGGUACCUAAAACCAAGCAUUGAUCUCUUGUAGGUGUUUGCUUCCGGUGGGGGAUCAUGGUUGCUCGAUAAUGGAGCCACUAAUCAUAUGACCGGAAGCAAGGACUUGGUGGUGGACAUGCACAAGAUUCCAUCGGUGCCCGCCAAUGUCGAGUGGGGUGACGCCUCAUCCUCUAAGGUAUUGGGACUUGGCAAGGUUGUCAUCUCUCAUGAUCUCACGAUCGAGAAGGUCAUGCUUGUUGAGUCCCUCGCAUACAAUUUACUUUCCGUUCGUCAACUUGCAAUCAUGGGCUUUGUCACUUUCUUUGAUAUUGAUACCGUGGACCUAUUAUGGAGCAAGACUCUUAAAGUAUCCUUUGUUGGGCAUGUCGAGAAUGGUCUCUAUGUGAUUAACUUUUUGGAGCGACCCACUAAGACCGCGACAUGCCUAAUGGCUAAAGUUGACGUGGGAUGGCUUUGGCAUCGCCGUUUAGCCCAUGUCAAUAUGAGAUCUUUGCAAAGUCUUCUCAAGGGGGACCAUGUUCGUGGACUAACAAAUGUUAGUUUUGCCAAAGAUCGUGCUUGCAGUGCUUGUAUCGAAGGAAAGCUACAUGAGAAGGCUCACCCUCCCACGACUAUCAUCUACUCGAAGAGGCCUUUGGAGCUCCUUCACUUGGAUCUCUUUGGGCCUCCAUCCUUUGAUAGUCUUGGGGGUAGGAAGUAUUGCUUGGUGAUUGUGGAUGAUUAUUCAAGAUACACUUGGGUAUACUUCUUCAAGAGGAAGAGUGAGACCCAACAAACCAUCAUUGACUUUGCAAAUGAAGCCCAACGCCAACACAAUGCAAAGAUCUUGACAAUAAGAAGUGACAACGGCACCAAGUUCAAGAACUACACCUUGGAUGAGUUUCUUAGUGAUGAGGGGAUCAAGCAUCAAUAUUCCGCACCUUAUACCCCUCAACAAAAUGGUGUAGCAGAGAGGAAGAACCAGACGUUGAUGGAUGCGGCAAGGACCAUGAUGGCGGAGUUCAAGUCUCCAUACAACUUUUGGGCCGAAGCCAUCAACACUGCGUGUCAUGCAUCCAAUCGGCUCUAUCUGCGCAAAGGCUUCAACAAGACUCCAUAUGAGAUACUCACCGUAACAAGCCCAACCUCAAGUACUUUCGGGUGUUCGGGUGUAAGUGUUUCAUUCUCAAGAAAGGUGUUCGUUUGCCUAAAUUUGAGGCUAGAGCUCAAGAGCGCAUAUUUGUUGGUUAUGCUACAAACUCUCAUGCUUACUGUGUCCUCAGAUAAGUCCACGGGACUUAUUGAAGAGACGUGUAACGUGGAGUUUGAUGAGAAUAACGGCUCCCAAGUGGAGCAAAGUGGCACUUGUGAUGUAGGUGAUGAAAUUCCUCCCCAAGCCAUAAGAAGAAUGGGUGUUGGUUUAUCCUACCCAUUGAGGAACCCCUUGUGGCUGAAGGAGAAGGACAAUGUUCCACUCAAGUGGAACCAUCACCAACCCAAGGCCCACACGCUUCCGAAGAACAAAGUGAAGGCCCUCAACCUCAUGAACAAGACCAAGGGCAAGAUCAAUCUCAAGAUGGUGUUGAACCACCAAGUGAUGCCCAAGGUCAAGUUCUCUCCCCCGAGCAAGUUCAAGAUCAAGAGCAAGCUCAAGAUCAAGAACAAGCUCAAGACGACGCUCAAGAUGAUCAAGUGACCACUCCUCAACUCACUCCUGAGGAGGAAUUGGAGCGUCGUGGCGCCAAGAUUGCAUCCAAGCUCUCUACCAAGGGUCAUCUCAUGACAAAUGUGCUUGGAAGCAUACGAAAGGGGGUAAGCACUCGUAGACAAUUGGCAAACUAUUGUGAACAUCACGCGUUUGUCUCUUGUGUUGAACCCCAAAAGGUCUAUGAGGCGCUCGAAGAUCCGGAUUGGCUUAAUGCCAUGCAUGAAGAACUCAACAACUUCGAGCACAACAUGGCGUGGAGAUUGGUACGAAGGCCAACGGGGAACCAUAAUGUCAUUGGAACCAAGUGGAUAUUCAAGAACAAGCAAGAUGCUCAUGGAAUUAUAGUCUGCAACAAGGCUCGUUUGGUAGCACAAGGCUACUCCCAAGUCGAGGGUAUCGACUACGGUGAAACCUUUGCUCCCAUUGCUCGCCUUGAAUCUAUUCGUUUGUUGAUUGCUUAUGCUUCUCAUCAUAAUUUCAAGUUGCAACAAAUGGAUGUGAAAAGUGCUUUUCUUAAUGGUCCUAUUAAUGAGUUGGUGUAUGUCAAACAACCCCUCGGGUUCGAGGAUCCCUAUUUCCCCGAUCAUGUGUACCAACUCGAUAAGGCACUCUAUGGCCUUAAACAAGCCCCACGUGUGUGGUAUGACCACCUUACUGAGUUGUUGCAAGGUCGUGGAUUUGAAAUUGGAAAAAUCGACCCCACUCUUUUUACUAAGAAGGUAAAAGGGGAGUUGUUUGUGUGCCAACUAUAUGUUGAUGAUAUUAUCUUUGGUUCCCCUAACAAAGCUUUCAAUGAGGAAUUCGCCGCUCUCAUGACCUCAAAGUUCAAGAUCUCCAUGAUGGGAGAGUUGAAGUUCUUUCUCAGGUUCGAAGUCAAGCAAAGAAGAGAAGGGACCUUCAUCAACCAAGACAAAUACACUCAAGACAUGCUCAAGAGAUUCAAGCUAAGUGAUGUCAAGCCGGCUUCCACUCCAAUGCCCGUCAAAUACCAACUUGACAUAGAUCCCAAUGGUAAAGCGGUGGAUCAAAAGGCAUAUCACUCCAUGAUUGGCUCCUUGCUUUACCUUUGUGCAUCUAGACCGGAUAUCAUGUUGAGUGUGGGAAUUUGUGCACGGUUUCAAGCCGCACCUAAGGAAAGCCACUGUGUGGCGGUCAAGCGGAUCUUUCGAUAUUUGUCUCAUACCCCAAACUUUUGCUUAUGGUACCCAAGAGGAGCAAGCUUCAACCUUGUACGCUACUCGGACUCCGAUUGGGCGGGAGACAAAGUGGAUAGGAAGUCAACUUCCGGAGGGUGCCAAUUCCUUGGUUGCUCUUUGGUGAGUUGGUCUUCUAAGAAGCAAAGUUGUGUGUCUCUCUCGUCCAUCAAAGCGGAGUAUGUGGCCGCCGGUAGUUGUUGUGCACAACUUCUAUGGAUGAGGCAAAAUUUAAAGGAUUACGGUGUCAUUUGUGACAAAGCGCCUCUUUGGUGUGACAAUGAAAGUGCCAUCAAGAUUUCUCUCAACCGGUGCAACACUUCAAGACGAAGCACAUUGAGAUUCGGUAUCACUUCAUCCGGGAUCACAUUAGGCGAGGGGAGAUCAAGCUCAACUAUGUCAACACUCAUGAUAACCUUGCAGAUAUCUUCACGAAGCCCUUGGAUGAAGCAAGAUUUCGUGAGUUAAGGCAUGAGCUAAAUAUCAUUGAUUCGAGCAAUGUGGCUUGAACCCUUGCACACCCCACCAUACUCAACUUGUUAUCUUGUUUAGGUGUAGGCAUGGACAUAGGGGGAGUGUUGUUCUCUCAAUGAACUCUCCCUCCCCCAUUAUGCAUAAAUUGAUCAACUCUUUCACAUUAGCCAUUUUUUAUGGUACUUGUGCUUCAAAGACGAGUUUUGGUCAUGGGCCCAAGGAUAAUUCUUCGCGGUGCCAUACCAAUUGACUCAAACAUAGGUGGCUCCGGCCACCUCCCUCUCUUUGGAGAGGUUGUGUCGUGUGUUUGGUCCUUGUUGUCUCUUGCCUUUCCUUCUUCAUGCCGAGCUCGUGUUUGAGUUCCUCAUGUGUUAGCUCUUGGUGUGUCCUUUCGCUUGAAGGUUGUAUUGCAAAGGCUGUUUUCCUCUUUUGCGAAACUUGCACUUUCUUGGGUUUGCAGUACUACCGUGGCUUGCCACGGUACUACCGCAGGAGCUUCGGACGGUACUACCGCAACCAGCACAGCAGUAAUUUUUUACCUCCGCUGGAUGAGCGGUACUACCGCCCCGUGUGCGGUACUUCCGCCCGGGUAGUACUACCGCGCAGACGCGAGCGCGUGGGGAUUAAGAGCGGGCAGGGGGAGUUCCAACUUCCCCAUACCCAUUCAACUCUUUUUUCCCAUGUCGUAUCUCUCUCCUGCCCAAGAACGGCGCCGGAGGACCUCGCCGGAUCUCCAUCUCCGGCCACUCUCCUCGCAUUCCGACCGGUGGGAUCGAUCCCCACCUCACCCUCUUGCCAUGGAACAAGGUUUCUCCCCAAAUCCCUCUCUCUUUGCCUCAUUAUCUUGUCUUUAGGUUUUGGGGAGAUACUUUGUGUUCUUGAGAUUUUAGGCCAAAUCUUUGCAAGAGUAGGAUGUAGGAGAGUUGUAGUGCUAUAGAGAUGCUAUUUGGUAUGUUGCUACUCGGUAGUUUUGAUCAACCGUAGUACCGCUCCAUUGUCACGGAUGUUCCCAGAUCUGAUUCAUUUUGAAUCUGAUCCGAGCGGUACUACCGCAACUCUCGUACGGUACUACCGCUCUGGGCGCUUUCGCCUCAUACGGUACUAUCGCUUCUUCGCAGCGGUACUACCGCACGCGGCGCGGAAGUAAAAUUUUACUUCCGCUCUAGGCGCGGUACUACCGUGCCAUCUCGGCGCGGUACUACCGCGGCUAGAGUGGUACUAAAAAUUUAGUUCCGCUUCAUGGAGCAGUACUACCGUUGACCUCAAACCUUCCUCGUGGCUACUACCCAAUGUUACCUCUACUUGUUUCGUUUGUUUUUGCUGUGGUCUUUGCAUUGAUCCUUCUUGCUUCUCUUGUGUGUUCUUGUGUUGUGUGACAUAGGUGUUGGCUCCGUUUCCACUGUCCGCCGUUGGAAUCCAAGCCGUGACACGGGCUCCAAGCGCCUGCGCAACCAAGAUGAAGCUCCAGAGGGAUCCAAUGCCCCCAACACAGAACCAAGACCACCUCCACCAAGAACAAGGAGCCCUCAAUGGGCAUGGAUGAGAUACCUCUUGCUGAGUUUGUCACUCGAAGGAGGAUCAACCCCUAUGUGAAUCCCCGUGCAAACUUCAUAGGGAAUGAUUUGUUCUGGACCAAGCAGCAGAAUCUUAUCUAUCUGGAUGUGAUCAAGGCUAAGCAGAACAUCUACAUGGACGUGCACUGGAUUGACAUGAAUCAUAUGAGGCAGGAUAAGCACCGUGACUAUUUUGGUGAGGCUUUGGACCUUGUGGAGCAGUUUGGCAUUGAGGACGUGAUCUCUUUCCACCUGGACUUUGAUCCUCAGAUUGUGGCCUAGUUCUUUGCUUCGGUCCACUUCCAUACUGAUGAGGAACGGACCCUAACCUGGAUGGCCAAUGGACAACAGAUGAUUGCUAAGUGGAAGGACUUCAUGGCUUUGCUACAGGUGCCUGAUGAGGGGCUCAACACGCCCGUUGGUGUUCGCCCUCGUGCCAACCCCGAGUCCGCUAGCAAGAACAAGCUCCAGCAGUACUAUGUUGAGAAGAAUCUUCCCAAUGACAAGAAGACGUGGGUGCUGAACCCAUUCCUUGACAUCAUGCACCGGAUCUUCCGCAACUCCCUCUUUCCACGCAUUGGUGACAAGGACAAGGUGCAUGCCUAUCUGGUGGAUAUGAUGCUCAUUUGUGAGGAGGCGCGUCACACUCAGACACAACCACUUGACAUCUCACACAUCAUGUGGUGCGAGCUACGGUUUGUGGUGUUCAACCGUAAGGUACCCAUCUAUGGACCUUACCUGUUUCUCUUGAUCACGAGGACUUGGGAGAAGCUCUAUCCCGAUGAGGAGUUUAUUGCCCCUGACUGGAUCCGUCACGACCCCAUCAAGCUCCGCAUCAAGCCUCAAUGGGCUAACACCACUACCUGUGCUGAGGCAGAGGCUACUCAAAUGGACAUGGACAAGGAUGAGAUUGAGGAGGAGGAAGCGGAUGAGGACAGCUCUGCUGGAUAUGCUCCUCCCUCUACUGAGCCUUCUUGGGCUAAGAAGCUGAAGAACAAGAUGAAGGCUCUGUUCUGCAUGCAGACCAAGGGCCAGUACAGGACCCAUGUUGCUUCCAAGGAGAGUCACCGCCGCGACAAGAGGAUCUUGAGGACGUUUGGCGAGGAGAUAUCCAGUGGGUCUGAGAAGCACAUCACGCCAGAGGCAGAAUGGAUGACGAAGCAGAGCUACCAGUGGACUGAAUCUGAGGAGGAGCCCAUCCCCGCUGCCGAGUCCGACGAGGAGCGUGACGAGUGAUCUAUUCAGCUUGGGACACCACUUGUGUCGUAGGUGUCCUCUCUGCCUUUUUGGUGUCUCGAUGCCAAAGGGGGAGAUAGUGUAGGAUUUGCGCUUUGUGUGUCGUCUGUCACUUUGCUUUCAUUCAGUUGGACCUCGUUUGCUUUGGUUUGUUUUGUGCUUGUGAGACCAGGUUCUCUUUCAUAUGGUGUAAGACAUAUGCACUCUAGCGUACCUUAAUCUCUCUCAGACUUAGUAGCCCGUGAGCCUAUGUUAUCUUGUGCCCUUUACUUUAUGCUCUUAGUUUUUAUCUUGCCUCCUUGCUUAGUGUUAGCUAUAUUGUUGCAAGAUAUGCCUUGUCUAUAAAAUAUAGGGGGAGUGUUGAUCCUAGUAUGUGUGCCGUGCAGUCCAAAGCAUUUCUCUAGAAAGCACACAUCUAGGGGGAGCCCGUCUAUAUUUUAUAGAUGUGGGGUUUGCCUAUGUUCUAUUUUAUAUCCCUAUGUGCAAAUCUCGUAUUGUCAUCAAUCCACCAAAAAGGGGGAGAUUGUAAGGGCGUAUUUAUCCCUUAGUUGUUUUGGUGAUUGAUGACAAUGCUUUUGCGGACUAAUCGUGUGCAUUGAGCAUUUCAGACAUAUCAUGACUAGGCACAAGACGAUUUGGUGCCCCUCGAAGACUAUUGAAGACGGCGUUUCUCUAUGUUUCUUUUUGGUGGAUUUGAGUCGUAGGAAAGCCGUACUAUUAAGAGGGGGUCCGCGUUGGAAAGGUUUGGGUGGAAUCAACACGUACACGUCUGUUUCUUUUUUGCACCACCUUUCCUUUGGCUCUUUGGGGAAUCCACUGUUUCUCCAUGUCUCUGCAAAAUGAACGACUCCUAGUGUUGCUGAACUGGGGCAUGCGGUAGUACUGCUCUUUGGAGCGGUAGUACCGCAGGCCCUUGCGGUAGUACCGGCCUCAGGUGCGGUAGUACCGCAGGUGCUCACGGUAGUACUGCUCCUUGGGAGCGGUAGUACCGUGGCCUCAGGCCAGGCUCAGCUGCUCGAGCGGUUGUAGGGGCGGAUGUAAUUUUUUACAUCCGCGCCCUACACGGUAGUAUCGCGCCAUGGGCACGGUAGUACCGCGAGCUCUGGCCAGGCGCAGCAGCAUGAGCGGAAGUAGGGGCGGAUGUAAUUUUUUACAUCCGCGCCCUACGCGGUAGUACCGCUCCAGGCUUGCGGUAGUACCGUGUCAGAUUUUUGCAUGGAGCGGAACUCAGCGGAAGUAGCCACGGAUGUAUUUUUAUAUGUCUGUGCCUUCCUAGUCUAGACCAACCCUGCCUUGCGGUAGUACCGCAAAGGGGACCGGUAGUACCGCGCCAGCGGUUCUACCACCCUCGGCUUCUUUGCCACAGGUCUGGGUUAGCUCCUGCCGCGCCAGCGGUAGUACCGCAGGGCCUUGCGGUAGUACUGUGGGCUCGUGCGGUAGUACCGCUUGUUGUGUGUGGUAGUACCGCUCGUCGCGGGCUGAGUUAGUGGAUAAUGGUUGGAUUUGUUCCAUCAGUAUAAAAGGGGAGUCUUCUUCUCUAAGUUGACUACCUCUUCUAUCCCCAAGCUCCAUUGUUGCUCUAAGCUCCAUUUUCGCCCGAUCUCUCUCCCUAGCCAAUCAAACUUGUUGAUUCUCUAGGGAUUGGUUGAGAAGGCUCCGAUCUACACUUCCACCAAGAGAAAUUUUCUUCCCCCCACUAAUCCCUUGCGGAUCUUGUUACUCUUGGGUGUUUGAGCACCCUAGACGGUUGAGGUCACCGCGGAGCCAUAUUCCAUUGUGGUGAAGCUUCGUGGUGUCGUUGGGAGCCUCCAGUUAAGUUGUGGAGAUUGCCGUAACCUUGUUCGUAAAGGUCCGGUCGCCACCUCCAAGGGCACCAAUAGUGGAAUCACGGCAUCUCGCAUUAUGUGAGGGCGUGAGGAGAAUACGGUGGCCCUAGUGGCUUCUUGGGGAGCAUUGUGCCUCCACACCGCUCCAACGGAGAUGUACUUCCCCUCAAAAGGAAGGAACUUCAGUAACACAUCCUCGUCUUCACUGGCUCCACUCUUGGUUAUCUCGUACCUUUACUUGUGCAAGCUUAUAUUGUGUUGUAUCCUUUGCUUGCUUGUGUGCUUGUUGUUGUUGCAUCAUAUAGGUUGCUCACCUAGUUGCAUAUCUAGACAACCUACUUUGAUGCAAAGUUUAAAUUGGUAAAGAAAAGCUAAAAAUUGUUAGUUGCCUAUUCCCCCCCCCCUCUAGUCAACUAUAUCGAUCCUUUCAUUAGGGAUAAUGCCGGACACCUUGUUCGCCAAAAGAAUCCCAAGGAAUCAUAUUUCACUCAUACUAACAUUGUGCUUCGUCGAACUGUUUGUUGACGAGGUGGAGCUAUUCGUCGGAGGGCUUAAGCUUCCGAUUCAUCUCAGCGAGUUCGGCGGCAUUGACUGCCGCUGCUAAUGUUGAAUCCUGCAUUCAUGUAACAAGCACCUCGGUUAGCCUAUCAUUCGGGCGAUCUGGAUCCUCGUCAGGUUUCUUUUCAAAACCUGCCAGAGUCUCGGGGGCUACUAUAUAUAAGGAUCGUUAAUAUCCUGACUAUAAAAUAUACUUUUAUGAAGGAAAGAACAUUACUUCGCUUACCUCAAAGCCUGACAGGAGGCCGUCAAAAGCUUGUUUCAAUCCGCUGUUAACAGACUAAACGUUUCGUCAAACCGCGCCCAUCAGGUCCGGCCGCUCCGCCGCGACCCAAACCCAGUGCUCGGCGCCGGUGGUAGGGCCUCAACUCCCCCUUUGUUGAGGGGUAGCUGUGACGCUUCGGAAGGCCUUGAAGGCUCUGGAAUCGUCUUCUGAGAACGCUCGGUUUCCCAAGCCCCUUCUCGUGGUCUUUGGCGGUCGAAGUGCCAGCUUCGGCCAUGUCAACAUUCACAUCACCCCCCGUGUUCGUCACGGGCGGGGCCCUCUGGGACGGCACCUCCUCGGUCUCGCCGACGACCGGAGGAGGCGCAGAAUGCGAGUCACCCCCGCUUUCCGCCAGAUCGGCUGGCGGAGAGGCGCCCUCCGAUAUCUCGUAGGUAAGGAGUUCGGCAGCAGGCUACAACAUGAGUAUGCACAUGCAGUUAGUAUUGGGUUAGUAAAACCAAUACCCAGGCAGUGUUCGGAUUCUCACCUUUCCGUGCUGGGCUUGACCCUGUGAACCUUCUCCCGGACCUUCUCGGAGGCUACGGACUCCUUGUCUGAGUCCGAAGUGUCAUCGGGUAUGACCAGCUUCCCCCUACUCCUCUUCGGGGGUGCCCUUCUUCGACCUUGGCGGAGGCCGCUCUGUUUUUGGUACGGGGGGCUCACUCUCCUCUUCCCCCUCCUCGUCCUGCUCCCCCUCAUGCGUGGCGGGGGUGUGGGUGUCCUGGACUUGGUGUCCGAAGGGAUCCGCAGGCGGAGGCCUUCCCAGGCCUCCCUCACUGGGUUCUUCUUUUUCUUUUUCUCCUUUUCUCUGGCGCCUUAUAAGGCAUCACGACCAGCAUUUCUUCCAGCUGAGCCAACUUGGGGUCUUCGGGCAGCGGAGUCAGACUAUUCAUCUUCUAGGCCUUCUCAAGUCGACCCUGUGGAAAUAGGAGAGCGGAGAGUCAAUCUACUAUAAUGUGAAUGUCUGACUUUGGAGUGGAUGAAAACCUUGUUACCUUCUUAGGAGGGUGUUCGGCGUCGAGGCCGACAUCCUCCUCAUCUUCUGCUGGCAAUCCUCUUUCUUGGGAUUUGAAUAGCGCCCUCCACAGAUUGUCAUAGGUGGUGUCGAGGAAGUGGCGCACGGUGGUGGGGUCUUCGUACUUGUAUUCCCACAUUGGGGUGUCCCGCUGUUGGCAAGGGAGGAGGCGGCGGCUGAGUAUCACCUGGAUCAUGCUGGUUAGCUAGAUACGAGCCUUCUUCAUGCUAAGGCUUCAUUUCUGCAGCAUUUCCACUUCUUCGGAGGGCCCCCAGUCGGGGCUCUUCUUGGCCCACGACGUCAGCCUCAUGGGUGGUCCGGAUAUGAACUCACGGGCGGCUGCCCAGGCUGCGUCGCAUGGUUCUGUAAUGUAAAACCACUCUCUCUGCCAGACCUUGACAGUGUCUAUAAACGUGCCCACCGGCCACUCUACACGAGUAAGCUUGCUAACCAUGGCUCCCCGCGAUGCGUUUAUUGGCCGUCUACAAUCUUCGGCUUCACAUUGAAUACCUUCAGCCAUAAGCCAAAGUGCGUAUGGAUCCGGAGGAAAGCCUCACAAAUGAUGAUGAAGGAUGAAAGAUGGAGGAUGGAGUUCGGGGCUAGAUCAUGAAAGUCUAGCCCAUAAAAGUACAUCAACCCUCGAACGAAGGGGUGGAGUAGAAAGCCUAGCCCCCUGAUGAAGUGGGGGGGGGGACAAACACCACCCUCUCGCUAGGCCACGAUGUGGGAAUGACCUGGCCUACUUCUGGCGCCCGGUGAGCGACCGCGGCUGGGAGAUAGCCAGCGCGCUUCAAGUCCUCGAUAUCCUUAUUGGUGACGGUCGAGGCCUCCCAUUUGCCCCUGCGUCGGAUCCCGCCAUCGUGAAGUGCGGGGAGUGGAGCUUUGGGGAAAAGUUGAGACGGGGCGCUUGAGCUCUGUGGAACAGGAGAAAUGCGGCGAAAGGAGGAAGAAAGGCGUACGGGGAUAACUGUGGUUGUUACCUUUUUUAUAAACAGUCAAGAUACCAGGAGUCCUUUAAAUGCGUCAUUGGCCUACCCAAGAUCCGCCUGUUUUGACACCGACACGCGAGAUCAAGGGAGAACUUGUGUAUCUCAAAGGGGACGCCCCCUCACAUAUAUAUUGGUGGAGGGAGGGCUAGGCUGACUUGGAGGAGGGAAAACCCUCCCUUCGGUCGUAGCCAAGGUGGAGGAGUCCUCCUCCAACUCCCCUAUGCCCCUUAGCUUGUGAAAUAAGCUAAAAGGGGGUGCCAUCCCUACAUAGGCCUUCGAGGCCCAUUAGCUCCCCAGUAAUAGAUGAAUUGAUAUUUCCUUUAGCCCAUUGAUUCUAGAUAAAUUCUAGGGACUCGUAGAUCAUUAUCUAAGUCCUCUAUUAUUUAUAUUAGGUCCUCGGAAACAAUAUGCCUAUAUAUCAUUUCCUGGUAUUACCCGGUAUUCCCCAAAAUUGUUCCCAUAACCCCGAAACGCUUCCGGUUUCUCUCCAAACUAUUCCGAUAAUAUUUUCUAUUAACUCGCAUUCCACUAAUACUCAACAGAUUGUGAUUCCCUUAAGCUUGGGACCCUGCAGGUUCUGUAAAAGAUAGACAUGAAUGAAACUCCCUUUCGUUCAAUGACCAAUAGCGGAACCGUGGAUAUCCAUGAUCCCUGUGAGUACACAAAUGAUAUUAGAGUGAACCUUUGGUUAUCAAUGAUAUUCCCUUUGCUUUGCGAUACUUUACAAAACACGUGGUGAGAUAUAUUGGUAUCCUCUUGAGUCAUUCUCAUGCUCACUAUAUCGGUCUCGUCGUUACCAGUUUUGCUCUUAUUUCUCGUUGAGAUGUUCCAGCAUCCCUGUGACCUAGUCACCUGUGUCUAGCCAGACAAUUAUGGAUGUCGUCACACCAAAAGGGCCCUAAGAAUAUCUCUCCAUCAUCGAAGGAGCAGAUCCCACUCUUGAUCUAUCUAGCCCCUUGUCAAACUUACCGAUGAACCUAUAAGUUGUUGUUGUGAUCACCAUGUUACAAAUGACGUUUGAGCAACCCCAAAGUCCAUCGUAUGGAAAGAAGCGACUGCAAUACUCCCAUGGUCUAAGAACUAAAGCAUACAUUAACUCUCUGUGUUAUAUCUAUUGACUUUUGAUUGUAGUAUCUCAAAUUAUAAUAAACAAGUUGGGUCAAUUCAAUAUGAUCAUUCUUCUAACAUGAUACUCUCAAAGUUGUUUGGGAACUAUAGUUACACUUAACAAUAUCCCAAGAUCUGGAAAGCAUGAUCACAAACAACACUUGAGAUAGUCCUAGAGGCGAGACUAGGAAUCAGGUUUUACCAUUUAUCAUUCCACAGGUGCUUAUGAUUUUUCCACUGAAUUGCAUAUUCCAAAAUCAUAGAAGUUAUAGCAUAGAACAUAAACUUUUAAUUACAAACGCAGAAAUAAAUAAUACAAUGUUAUUGCCUCUAGGGCAUAUUUUCAACAACAAGCUCUAGCAAUGAAGCUUUCCCAAAAUCGGUGAGUGGUUAGGGCUUGAGUACAUCAACUCCUCCAGAACUAUCUAUCCCGAACGAUGUACAAGACAAGCUUUCUCAAUUAAGCCUUGAAUACUCAGGGCUUGGCAUACGUGCUUCGCUCGGUUACACUUGAAGAGGAGAUGCUUAAUGUCUUACGCUCCAAUCCCACAGAAUAGGCAUUUCCCUCUCACUUUGAUAUGGCGGUUCGCCAGGGUAACCCAACAAGGAAUAGUAUUAUGCAUAACUCUCCAAAAUAUAACCUUCACUAACACUUUGAGUCCCCAUAUUUUAUCCCAAAUUGGAUGAGGUUAUAUACCGAUUUCUUGAUCACCUAUGUUUAACCUUUGGCCAUAUUGGCCCUCUCAUUCUACAUAAUGUGAUGAAUGCAGAGAGAACGUGCUCGUAUGAGUCAGGUUCCAAGCAACAAAAUCUUGCAUGCCAAAAGAUGAUAAAAGGGAUAGCAAGAAUUCUUUGAACAUAUACUUGCCAAAAAGUCACCUUCACUAGGUCCACAUCCCAGUGAUCUGUGUUGUGAUCAAUAAGGUCGCUCACCCUACUAAGAAUGUUUUGGCUCCUUCUAGUUGUUACUUUACUUGAUGCACUAUUUGGGAUCCAUCCGUCUUUUCAGAUAUCAACCUUAGCUCCAUCUCCCACAUGCCAUAUAUGACCAUGUUUUAUGUAAGAGGAAUAGAGAGGAGAGAUAAUUGGCGUAAUGUGGUGUGUGUUGUAUUGAGCCUCUCAGGCGGUUUAUAUAGAGUACAUGGCUUGCAGAGCAAGAAGUCUCUCCUAGAGAUAAGGCAGGAGAUGAUUUCAAAUCAUAUCUACCAAAUACAAGAUAUAUGCCUAGAUACUCUAACAUCUAACCACAGUCGUACCGGUAGCAUCGCACACAGCAGCAGCGUCACGGACGGUCAAACUGGAGAGAAAUCGGCGUAGAAGCCGACGAGCUGACAUCCCCCCGCAGUCGUAGUGGGAGCGCUAUGGACGGUGUCGCAUCACGGACAUGUUGACUAUAGAGGAAGCCGCCGAGUUGCUCAAGCGAGGUGAUAGCCCUUGGUGUCGAAUUCAAGGAAGUCGAGAGCAUGGGUGGCGGAGUUGUGGUCCAGGUAGCCGUGCGAGGGGUUGUCGUGGUCGGGUGUCGAUGUCGAGGUACCCGCACAUGAAGCUGCAUGCGCAUAGUGCGUGAAGAGAGUAACGGAGACGCGUCGAGGCAGUCAUCAAGGAAGCCAAUGUCGAAGGAGACACAGUCUGAGCCGUCGAGGACGAGGUGCGGCCAUAGUUUUGCCAGAACUAGUCGCAUGUCGGGGACGAAGGCAUACUCUGGUUUUGCCAGAACCGAGUGCGCAAAGAAGAACUCAGCGGUGACAUGGUCGAGGUAUUCAUAGAGGAGGGUGUCGCUGCCAAUGAAGAAGUUUCUGAUGCUGAUGAAGACGAGGCGACAAUCCGACCUUUCCAGACUCGGGAACGUGUCGAGGAAGAAGGCACGUACCGAUGUUGCCAGUACCGGGCAUGCGAAUGUAGGGGCCAUCAUGACAUGUGCGCCAUUGUCGUAGGGGCUAGCAGAGGAGGCCUUUGUGACAGUUGCGAGGCACAGAGCGGCUAAGAGAGAGAAGUGAUGGUGUAGUUCACGGUUCUCGGAGUAGACGAAGUAGUCGGGGACAAGAUGGCGUUGGCGACAAAGUCGUGGUGAAUGAAGACAUCCGCAGGACAUGCAACGUGGAGGAGCUGCCAUGCAGGUUGCCAGUAUAAGUGCGGCGGUGGUGCUUGAAGUUGCCAAACACGUGCGCGGACGGUGGCGAUCACGUGUCGUGGAAGGCGGUGCAUGAGAGCCGGGGACGUCGGUUGCACGGACACGAUGAAGAUGACCGCAUGCAGCAGCGCCACGGCGCGAAGGGGCGACGCAGCAGCAGCGCGCGUGUCGAGGCGACGGCGGCGAAGACCUCGGGGUGGUGGCAUGGACCGCAUGUCGUGGUGCUACGGCCCGAAGGGGCGACAUAGCGACUGUGCGCGGGUCGAUGCAACUGUGGGGAGAAUCUCGAGGCAGCGGCAUGGACCGGGUGUCGCGGCGUAAUGGCCCAAAGGGGCGAUGGCGGGAGCGGCACGCGGGUCAGCGCCACCGUAGGGAGGACCUCGAGUGAUGACACUGUGGUCCAAAGGGACGAUGCAGUGGAAACUCGUGGCUCCAUCCGUGGUAGGCACAUGCUCGAGGACGUGCUUGGCGAAGACGUGCACGGGGUCGGCUGGUCAGACUGACGGCGGUGUUGUACGCGCCAUUGCGUGGAUGACGCGUAGAUCGGAGUACAUGGCGACGUUGUCGGUGAUGUCGGGUGGUGACAAUGAAGACGGGUCGACGAUGGAGACCAUGCGGACGAGAGCGGCUGACAAUGACGCAUGAAGGAGUCCCUUGUGCGGCGCGUCCCUUGUGCGGCGCGUCCAGCCUUGUCGCGCGGUUGAUGAUGAACUGGUCGAUCUAGACCGGCCAAGUGACCGACAGAGAGAAAUCUGAUCUAGAAUCGAAAAACUCACCAGGGCAGCCGAUCACAUAUCGGCGAACAAACCCUGCUACGGGUUCCGCGGCCCCGGCGGCGAUCAUAGAGAUCAAUCGCCCCGGGGGCGGCACGGUGCAGAAGCGGCGGCGGCUAGGGUUUGGGUCGGGAUUAGUUUGAUACCAUGUAAAACGAUAGUGAGAGAGAAGGAUUGGCGUAAUGCGUUGUGUGUUGUAUUGAGCCUCUCAAGCGGUUUAUAUAAAGUACAUGGCUUUAAGGGCAAGAAACAUUUCCUAGAGAUAAGGCAUGUCCUAGAGACAAGGCAUGCAAUGAUUACAAAUCAUAUGCUACAAAUACAAGAGAUGUGUCUAGAUACUCUAACGUUUUAAUGUAUUAAUCCAGGCCACAUACUUUGUCAUGUAAAUAAGCUCCCUUUUUUCAACUUCGUGUUCAACGAUCUCCUGAGGACAAAUACCUUGCACGCAACACAGUAGCACAAAAGAGAAUCAGGGUUCUAUAUUAUCACCAUGAUUGCUUUGCUAAUAAGGAUAGAUUAAAGCAGUGGAUAUCCUUGAAACCCUUUCCUCCUAAUUUCUUCAGAAUGCACUGUCUUUGAUCUGCAUCAUCGCCCCACCAACAUAUUUUCAGUGAUCCAUUUGUAGAUUUGUUUUAUCGCAUAUGAUUGUACCCCCUGCGCAAUCGCUCUCAGAAGCUUUUCUUACCACCCGUGGAUAAUUUUUUUUUUUCUUUUCAACCAAGCAGUCUCUUUAACACUAUCAACCAAGAAUUGAAAAUUAUCACUUCUGUCGGCAGCAACAAUCUGUCCCAAGCAAUUAGCAUCAUAGCUUGCAUUAAAGAUCAAGGAAUCAUUAGCUAAUAGGAGAUUAAAUAUUGCUUCUUCUUUUUUAGGCUAGUCAUAGUAGGGGUAACUUAGGUAGUAACUUAACAUAUCCCAAAAUAAUUUUGCUUAUGUGGCGAGUAUUUAAUAAGAAAAGAGAUGCUUGUGAUAACUAUAACAUAGCGUUUUCCGAGGCAAAAUGAGUCUAUGAGCUAAUAAAUGAAUCCAUUUAUGAUACUACUAGUAUGUUAUUUUGCACUAUAGAGAUAGUAACUUAGACUAGUGUCAUAUGCAUGACACUAGUAUAAGUUACUCCCCACCAUGACCAUCCUUACAAACCAUUGACAAACUUUACUCCUUUUAUUAAGUUCAACUUGUACUCCUUUAAGUUCGCCACUCCACUCUGCAUGUCAUUACAAGGGAAGUAAGACCCUCGGUGCACAAAAGAAAGAGGUAUGUGUUAAAGCCGGAGCUAUGAGUUGGGUGUAUUCCUUUUUCACAAAUGCAACAAAUACCAAAUAACGUGAUUUUCCUGCAUUACAGUAACAGCAUAUUUUUUUUCCCAGCAAACAUGCACCUACCAAUUCAUACUCCUUUAAAUUCGCCACUCCAUUCUGCAUGUCAUUACAAGGGAAGUAAGACCCUCGGUGCACAAAAGAAAGAGGUACUCCCUCCGUUCGGAAUUACUUGUCGUAGAAGUGGAUGUCUCUAGACGUAUUUCAGUUCUAGAUACAUCCAUUUCCGAGACAAGUAAUUCUGAACGGAGGGAGUAUGUGUUAAAGCCAGAGCUAUGAGUUGGGUGUAUUCCUUUUUCACAAAUGCAACAAAUAACAAAUAACGUGAUUUUCCUGCAUUACAUUAACAGCAUAUUUUUAUUUUCCCAGCAAACACGCACCUACCAAUUCACAACGCUAAGUGUUGAGACAUGAUAUACAAUCAAUGGAAUCCUACCUUUUUCUAGUUCUAUAUAUACACCACCAACACACUAAAACGGGUCAUACAAUAUUGCCUUUACUUUUUCCAUUUUACAGGCUAACCAAUCAAGCCAGCGGCAACCUAUGGGCUAUAUUAACACGCAAACGUGUAUCGUCAACGGCAUGUCACUGUAUACCUCGCUUGCCUCAGUCAUUGUUCUUGAAGAAGGAACCCCAUUUUUGUGUCAAUCCAUCAAUCAGGCUGCCAGUCCGGCUCUUCUGGACUACAAGUGUUGCUCUUGUGCCAUCCUCUCCAUUGGGGUUCUGGAUGGGUUUCUGGGAUUCUGCCGAGCCAGAUUUUCCAUUGAUGACCUGAGUUGAGCCGUUGGAUUCUGAUGCGCCAGAAACAUUAGCAGAAACAGCAUCAUUUACAGUGCAGCGAUCUGCACUUUGCACACUAGACGUCUUUGUUACACUGUUACAGGCUGCUACAUCCUUACCAGGAGCAUCAGCACCACGCACAGAGAUGGAGGAUGCAUCUGUCUCCAAUGCCACUACAUCAGGUGCUACACUAUUUUCUUUGGAAGCAACAUCAGAUACAGCUGAUUGAGUGUUCUUUGUAUUUGACUUGUCUAAAUCCUUCAGGGACUCGAGAAUUGCUUGCAUCAGCAUCUGCGUUUAGACACAGCAGAAUAGAGAUUAACCACUGGUACGGUUAGAAACGUGGAAAGGUAGGCUAGGAAGUACU
rnacentral:lncRNA from 1 species